rnacentral:lncRNA from 1 species
AAUGUGUGAAUGGGUCAAUGGGGAAGUGAUUUUUCUUGGACUUUGGAUAGAGAAUGAGGUCAUGUCCAACAACAUACUAAUGAAUGUGCUUAGUUUGAGGCCCAAAUUAUAUAUAUGUCUCUUGAAAAAUAAAAUAAAAUGGUAAGAAAGUUUAUGUGCUGCUUGUUGCAUGUGAGAGACAGUAUGAAGCAAGGAAUUAUGGAAAGUUUGAUGAGGACGUUUAAAAGUUUGUUAAAUGGAGAAGAAUAGAAUUUUCUAUGAGGUGCAAAAUGAGUGGAACCAAAGAAAAGUAUUGACGGUUUACUUUGACGGUUCAACUUCGGAAGCAACCAACAAGAACAAGGAAAAAACUUGACAUUCCAGUGAUUCAUGGGAGAUAGUUGUUCAGGUUUUUUUUUACCUCAAUUUGCGGUAAAUUUUAGUCAUAUAAGAAAUGGAAAUUUUCACUUUAAGGACAAAUGGAUGACCAGUUGACCAAUAACUGGGAAUAUCAUAAAUUAUAAGUUUAGGGAGUGCUCUUUUGUAAUCUUUCAUCAAAGCCUCCUUUUACAAGAAAUCGUCAAGUGUUGACCGUGAACGACUUUUAAAACAAGGUAUAAUACGUUACAUAAAACUCAUAAUAAUGUGUUCAACUGUAAUUGGAAGAAAUUCUCACAUAAAAAAGUGUCUGUUCUGUGUGUUCGAUCAGGCUCAUGCAGACAGGUGCUACCCAAGUUAGAAGUUUUUAUUAUUCGUAAAAAUAUAUAAUAGUAGGAUAGAACUCAUUUUAUUAUAGAAUAAUAGGUCCAAUUAAAUUCCUAAGAGAACUUCAGUUCAGAAUUAAUUGUUUACAAAUAUCAUCUAGAUGUUCAGUGAAGAGAAUAAGCGUUUGAUCAUUCAAUGUAGGACAGAUUACAGUUACUACACAAACGUUUUUUAAAUCCUCAUGAAUUAGUUAAAAAUAUCUUAUAGGAAGAAACCAAGCAAAUAUCAAAGCAAUUAGUAUUUGACUCUCAUUUUUCUCUUGAAGACUUAACGGGCCGUGGUCAAAAACCAGUGUGUGAGGAAACCGUCUAAUAAGGCGUUUAUUAAGGCGCACCUCAUGUUUUACAUCACAAUCAAAACCGGUUUCUGUGUGCCGUCUCAUUAAAGCCAUGGAACCCCAAAAGGUUAAUGUAAUUGGAAAAUAUUGCACUAAAUCUAAAAUUAUGGGGGAUAAUUAAAUCUGUUAAUUUUGAGGCAAAGUCAAUUACAAUUCUAGCACUUUGAGUACGUUAGCAGAGAACAAAAGUCAAGUAUAAUUUUUCGGUUUUUUUUAGAAAAAAAAAAAACUUGUAGAGAUUUGCCGAUCAAAUGGAAAACUAGAAUUUCGGUUCUCUUAAUGAAAUGAAAAGACAGGAAAUGCAACAUAGGCAAUUACGAAAUGUUAGAUUAAAUAGGAAGUAAAAGACGACGCACUGACCUUGCUUGGUAUUCUGCGGCGAUGAAAUACAGAACUUUGAGGCACUGUGUCAUUGAAAGAAGGAUGGGAAUGGACAUAGAUGGAAUAGAAGCCUUCAUUUCCUUUGAAGAAUCUCUCCCACAAUGGACCCAAAAGGACAGGCCCUUUUGUCAAAAACAUGAAUGCAACCUUUGGGGUGUGUUUGUAAGGCAUUUCCUUAAUCGUAGGAACCAUAGAAGCUCUCCACAGCAACUCUUCCUCUGUCAUGUCAUGCAUAGCCUUGGUGACUUGUGUCUGAUUAUUUAACGUUGAGAUGGGAAUUGGAGUAGACAAAGAUGGAAGGAAGUUGAGGGACAAGUUUUUGAAAGAGAAAGUGGUGAGGGUGAUUCCAAUGAGCAAACCAGAGGCAAAUACUAGAACAUGAGAGACGAAGAAACUGAACAUGUGUGAUUGAGCAUGACUCAAGAGUCUGGCUGCAGCAAGGGACCGUUCUUGCUGGUUAUUCUUCAUGCUGCUAUGCUAUUGCCUAUUGGAUCGAUGAUGACCAACGAGAAAUUAAAAUAGAUGUUGCACACACAUACUUAAAUUCAUCCCAAAAAUCAUCUAUAUUCUGCAUUUGACUUCAGCUUGUCAAUUUUCAUUCCUAUACACUACUCUCUCGCCCAUUUUGUUUGACGCUAUUUUUAUGUUUUUCCAUUUAUUUUACAAUACUAAUUAAGUAUUCAAUAUCUUUUUCCUGUUAUAUUCUGAACCAUUUAUUGUCAAAUGAAAAGAUAAAAUAGAAAUAUAAAUGAGGGACUAUGAUCAAUUUAUAAUAAUUUUCAUCAAAUCUAAAAUAUUAACUGUAUUUCUUAAUUUUUGUAUGAAAACCUUACAUGUCAAAGAAAUUUAUAAGUAGUUUCUAAAUACAGAAUAUACGAGAAAUAUUAUACUUCUAUUUUUAACACAUACUUUUGGUAAGGUUUAACAAACAGACCGAAAGUAUAUUUAAGUCACAAUAAAAAAUAUUAAAUAUUAAUAAAUAUACACUAAUAAUAUUAAAAUUAGUUUUAAAAUAUAAAAUAAUAAAAGUACAAGUUAUUAACGUAUCAAUAAAUGUUAUCGGUUUAAGUUAUUAAAGUAUCAAUAUAAAUUAACUUUUAAUUAUUAAUUCACAUUUAUUAAUAUUAAAUAAUUCAUUUUUAAUUUAAAUAUUAUAUUUAUUAAUUCAUAUGCAUUAAUGUUUAAAAUUAUCAUUUUCUAUUUAUUAAUUUAUUAGUUUUUAAUAAAUUUGAAUUUAUAAUUUAUCAGUAUUUAAAAUUUUAUUUAUUAAUAUUUCGUAUUGUUAGUACAUGUUAAUUAAUAAAUAUAAAUUAAGUUACACAUAGUGUCAAUAAUUUAUUUAGUAAUUAAAACAUCAAAGAGUAGGAGGUGUAAAUGUUUGACCACGACUGACAACUUUUUAUCAAGAUUCCUCUCACUUUAAAUUUUUUUUUUUUUUUUUAACUGCCAAAGAUAAUAUUAUAUAUAUGAUAAGAAUAGUACCAGAAGUACUACAAGGAAACAAAGGAUAUAGUAACUCCUAAAACACAAGAACAUAACCAGCAAAUAACAAGCGAACAAAGAAUAACAAUGCCCAACCCUACAAAUCACACACUAGGUAAAAGACAAAGACAUAGUUGAGGACCAUUGGUGAAAAGGAACAUUGAAGUCCUUUUCCCACCCUCUCACUUUAAAUUUAACAAACAGUUUAUAUGUUAUGCAGUAAACUAUAUCAUAGAACCUUUAUAGGACCAUAAAAAUCACUUCAUUUGGAUCAGUACAAUAGAAAAUCUCGUCCACUCAAUAAUGACUUGAAUAGCUCUAACUUUGUCACACACACACAGUCACACAAACUGCAUGAAGCAUACCUUCAUCCAUAGAAUAUCUUGUUAAUGCAUCAUAACAAUCAUUUAUAAUAAAAUGAUGUUAAAGACAGUGAACAACUGAACAUAAAUUACCACCAACAAAGUAUAACUUCAUUCCAACAACGAAGAAGGAUGUAGAUUAACAGCACCGGCUAUGCUGUGUUUGAAUAUCUGUUGAGUUUCUCUCAACAGGCAUUGAUUUCAUUCCAUGCUUUUCUGUUCAACUGACUAGUAAGAAUAGCUUCAUCCAUAUUUUUAUUCUAUAGUUUCCAAGUGUCUACAUAGUUUUCAUUAUACAGUCUUCAUUCAUAAUUUUCCAACUAAACCAGUUAUAUUUCUCAAGUCUCCUAGUCGACUCUUUUCAACUCAACAUUACUCUCCACCAAAGAUUUCUGUACUUGUUUUAUGCUCAAAACAUAAGUAAGGUUCCUAGCUGAUCAUAAAUAACCAAAAGAAGGAUAAAAAAUCAAACUACAAUCAUAAGUUUAAUCAUUUCAGCACCACUGCUGCAUAAAAUAAUAAGAAUUACACAGAGGCGACCAUAAUACCAGCAUGAUGAGCUCCUAUAAUACAAACCAACAAAAUCAUAGAAUUUGAAAACUUAGAAGUCUAGAACAGAUUUCAUAUAAGCAUCUCAAAUUCUCAAUUACUAAGCUAGAGUUUGUGAAACCACGAGAUUGUGAAGAGAAUGAAAAUCAUAGCCGUGGCAGAAAUUGAGAUGUAAGCAAUUCAAAUCAGAAAGAUGAAACAUGCAAGCAAGGGUUUAACGAGAAUUUCGUGUAUGUUUUUUGUAUUGCUAAAAUAACCAAACAGGGUGCUUUUAAUGGAAAGGAUUUUAAAUCCUCUUAAAUUUACAUUUCUCCCCUGAAAUACCUAAUCCAAACCUAGCAUAAAUGUUUGUAAUAUUUGUCAUAUAAAGUUAAACUUGCAUGCUUACAUCUUUCUAAUGGUUUCCUUUUCUAUCUAACAAUAUUUAAACUGUUUGAAUAAUGAAUAUUUCUGAUGGAAAUGUAUUUUUUACAGGAUUUGAAAUACUUUGCCAAAUGCCACAAUAUACGUUGGUUGGAUAUCAGACAAGUCAAAAUGCUAGCCUCAAUAAUUUAAAAACAUUUAGCUUGAGAAUUUCCAGAAACAAGGCUAUAACUUAAUGGAAAAGGAUUCAAUAAUAAUUCCUUCAUGUAUCUAGAAAAGGGCUGCCAAACAACAUCCAACUUGAAAAUUUACUUAUUAAAUAUGCUCAUUCUGUGACAUGUAGGGCCAAAAACAGACAAGGAAGAAAUAUAGUAUGAAGAAAUCAUAAACAAUGACAAAAAAUGUGAAAAAUCUACAGAACUAACUUAAGGGCUCAGCACUAAGAAUACACAACAUGUAAACAGCCUCAGUCAAUAGCAAGAGGUGACGAGAAAUAAAAAUCAAUCCUUUAAUGCUACAAAAGAAAAUCUGGAAUUACUGGGGUUUGAGAAACCACAUUUAAGGGUGACUUUGCUCUUUGAUGAGUUUUUCGCCUCCCAUGGCGGUGGCCACUCUUUUUCUUUUCCCUCUGAUCAUGCUCUUCCCCCUCAACAAUCUUUUCUUUUCCUUGGUGUCUUCUCUCUUUAGUAUGACUAUGACCAUGAUUUUUGCUACUUGAAUUUGGGUUUUCAAGUUCAGGAUUUUCUGCAUCAACUACAUUUUUCUUCAUUUCAGAUCGAACACGUGUGCUUAGUUUCUUUUUCUCUUUCUUCCUUGAUGACUUAUCAGAAGGACUGCUUCCAGACAUACUUGGUCUGGUUUCGCUUCCUAGAAGAGCAUCUUUUAUGGCACCAGAAAGAGAAUCAUCCAAUGGCUCUGGUCUUUUGACUGUAAUUGGUGCCACAUCUCCAUCAUCCAAUCUCACCACUACAGGCCUGGGCUUUGUUUGGUUUGUCCUUUUCUUGAGAAGAAGUGAUUGCUCUGUCAGCUUGACUAGCUCUGCAGCUUCAUCAUUUAUAUUACUGUUAGACUUUGGAUCAUUUGCAGGAGGAUACUCAUCUGAAACAAUCUCACUCUUCUCCGAAGGAAGAUAAUAUAAUCCAUGCCGCUUACGGUGCUCAAUCAAGGAUGUGGAUUCCUUCAAUGGCCCUGACUCUUCAUUUUUCAGAAGAUUAGAUGAAGAAGCAUCCAAAGUAGUGGUAAGGUGAGGACCUCCUGCGCCAAACAAACUUGAUGAAGGUAGUUCAAUAUCACCACAUAUUGCUUGUAAGUCAUCUAGAUUUUCUUCAAGAACUAAUCCAUCCGGCAAAACAAUUCUUCCCUGUGCACUUGUUGAGACUGGACCAAGUUCCGUAGUAAAAGCAUCACGCAACAAAUUGAUAAUAGCCGUAACUCGAGUAUCUUUCUUGUUCACAAUGUCCACCACACUCUGGACUGAAUUAUCAAUUAUUUCUUCUUUAACCAACUGAACAAGGGAAAGUAUGUUUCGUGCUCUCUCCAGCACUUCAACAUCCUGGUUUGAUAUUAGCGGGCCAAGAAUUAAUUCAAUUCGAUUCAAUAGGUUUACAAUAGAUUCAUGCAUGGAAUUUUUGUUCACUGAGAGAGUAGGAGGUGUAGAUGUUUGACCAUGAGGGGCUACUCUAUCUACAUCAUUUUCAACUGAAAGAUCCUCAGAAGAUUCAGUUGCAUUCCUUGGGUUAAAAUCCCCAUGAUGUUCAUAAUUUGAUCCUUCACACAUUGCUAAUUCAGCAGCCUCAGUGUCAUUUUUUACACUAAACAAAUCUGACUGUCCCCCAGCCAAAUGAUCAGAAUACCAAGAUGCAGAACCUUCAUUUUGAUGAAAGUAACAGUCCAGGCAAAAAAUUAAAAUUUUAAGAGCAGAAUUAAUAUAAACUGCUCUUAUUGAUGGUGGCAAGAGACUGGUUCGAGGCUGUAGGAGUGCAUCCAUGAGUUCAAAGGGAUUGCUCGCAACCUCAACGUACUCUCCAGCAACCCAAGCAGCAGCACACAAUAUCCUAUGCAAGUGCACAUUACCCAGUAAUGCAGGGUCAAUCAACAGAUCACGCCCAACCCGAACAAGCUGCAUUCUAGCAUCCUUAACUCUCAUACCAAUAUCAACGAGCUGAGUCUCAAUCUCUUCCCCCUUUAUGCAAUUAGGAAUCAUCGCCAUUUCUCCAAGAAGAGACACAUACCAAUCAAAGUCAACAACAAUCUCGUACACAUUUCUAGAACACGUCAUCAAAAUGGAACCCAAAAUCUCAUUACAAAAUUCUGGGUCAGACUUCAAUGCAUAAUUAAGCAACACCCUGGAGAUAUCUGCCACAUGGCUCUCAGACACCAUGGCCAUCAACAAUCGCAGUGACUCAAUCUUGAUAUUCGAAUCAUCAUCACUCAACGACUUAACCACCGCCUCCUUAUUCUCCAUCACCGCCCACAAGUGCUCGGGCGCAGCAACCGAAAGCGCCUGCAGGCCAAGAUACCUAAGAUUGGGAUCCUGAUCAACCAACAACUCCCUAACCUUCUCAACAGCGAGCUUAACAGCAGACUCAUAACCACUCAAGCUAGUGAGCACAGUCCUAACACACUCAAACACCAAGGACUUGGCCCCUGACCGCCUCAUAUGGUCACAAACAGGCUCAACAAUUCUCUUCCCCAAUCUAGGUUCCAAGGGAGCCAACUUAGCAAACACCUUCAGCACCUUAAUCAAAACCCAAUUGUUCUUAGAAUCAACCAAAAUCCUAUAGAACUCGGGCGCCAAGGGAAGAUACGACUUAGGAUCCUUGGCAGCCAGCUCGCAGAAAACCCCGACCACGGCGGUCACAACCUGAGGAUCAGAACUUUCAAGAUUCUCAACCAAACGCUUGAAGCAAACCCUAACCGCAUCGGGGUACUUAUCGAAAACCCUCAAAACGACGGCGAUUGCCUUCUUCCUAACGAAAACCCUAGCGGUGGAGAGCAAUUUGAAAACCUCGGGGGUCAAAUCGCGAGCGAGGUCGAGAGUGGCGAUCCGCGAGAGCAAAUCGAGGGCGAGGCUUACCUCGAAGUCGUUGGUGGAGGAGAGGUCCUUGCGGAGCUGGUUGGUGAUGAGGAGGAGCACCGGAGUGUCGUCGUGGAAGGACUGCGACGCGGCGUGGUAACCGAUCCUCUUGUGCGCGAACUUGGAGGAGGACAUGACCUCGACCACGUGGAAGCAGGCCCAGGACAUGUCGACGGCGUGCACGGCGGAGAGGUAAGAGAGUUUGUGGAGGGCGGUGGAUUUGGUGUGCUGGUCGGUGGAUUUGAUCUCGCGGCGGAUCUCCUCCGUGGCCUUGGAGAUGAAGGUGGAUUCACCGAUGAGUUGGAGGCGCAUGCCUUUGAUCAGAUCCUCCAGCGUGCGCUGGAAGAGGUUCUCCAUGAUCGAACCCGACAUUGGGAAUUCCACUGUAACUGCCGGCGUCGAAGCGAAUCAAUUCGAUUCCACGAUUAGCAUCGUGCAAGUUUGUUGCUGCUGGAGGAGAGGAUCUGUUUUGGGCCCAAGCUUCAAGUUUAUAGGCCCAUUUCAAAUUUGUCAUUAAAAACUAGAAUUUUCAUAAACGGGUUUAUAAUGAAGAGAUACGUGAAAUAAAAAAGUUAAGAUAUCAUUAAUUAUUUAUUUGAUUUUAAAUUUCUUGAUUUUUUUAAUUUAAUGUUAAAUAAACUAAUAUUUUAUUUUACAUGUCUUUAUUUCAAAAGUUUAUUUAUUUAGUGUUUAAAAGUAACAAUACUUUAAUUCAUUAUUUUCAUGGUGAGGGAUUAGAAAUGUAAUCAUGUCAACUAGCAAAUCCAUAAUUUAUCAUCUACAAAAAAGUUAUCCUAACACGUAAUUUUAGGAAAUGUAAAGGUUCAACUAACAAGUAGUCUUAUUCACACAAAAAAAACUAACAAGUAGUCGAGUAAUAUUGCACACACACACACACAGAGUCAGAAACUCAAUAGUUCUUCAUAAGAACAAUCUACUUUAUUAUAUGUCACAGGAUUCCGAGGCCUACGUCAUAAAUUUAUAAACUAAACUUUGAAACGUACAAUAUCCAUAAUCCAUGGGCUUCUAAAGUCUAAACAAUUCGUCCAUUCUGGUUGGUUUUCUAUGUAGCUCAUCAAACAGAGUUGUUUUCUUCUUUUUCUUGUCUACCUUUAUUUAUGUAAAGUCAAUUAGUGAAAUAACUUGCACAAAUAAUGAUUCGACCCCCAUUAAGUUGGCUGAUAUGAUAAGAUAGCUAAGCACUUGUGCUUUUUUUUUUUUUUCUUUCUCUCACUUUCUAGUUUUUUCACCAAUCAAAGAUUUGUUCAUAACAAAUGGAAAUCUGUGUCUGCAAGUUAAAGCACCUCACGCCGGGUAGCGCCAAUGAAUAUUUCAAUCCUACCCUAGUUGAUAAGACUUACUUUGCAUUGGUGAAACAAAAAAGGGUGCGUGGCUUCACUUUGGCUCACAUAAGUGAGGUUAAAUCACAUGGUAGUAGCUAAUAGCUAUAGUAUACAACACUCGUAAAAUAAAAGGCCCUUUCAUAUAUUUGCCCCACUCAAUAAGAUUAAUUUAUGAAAUAAGCACUUUCUCUAAAGUUGGCUUUUCUUUCCUGGUAUUUUAAUUGGAUAAAACAAAACUAUAAGGCAUCUUUAAGUCAACUUUAUGCAGAAUUUUAAUCACAACAUAAUCAGUUUACUAUAUAUAUUUGUUCUUUAACAUACAAUUGUGAGUUGCUUAAAUGAGUUUGAUUGAAAUUAUUUACAGAAAAAUAUUUUUUAACUGCUAUAAAAUGAACCUUAUUAAAUAAUUAAAAACCAGUAUGUGAUGGUCUCAAUAACCAUCAUAUCAUUAUCAUUGUUUAACAAUACAAAUCGACGGUAAAAACUAAAAUAAAAAAAGAAAGAUCGAAAACUUCUACCAGUCAAAUUUAUGUUCAAAGAUUAAAAUCAGAAUUUUGAAAAGAUUUAGAAACUAAAAAUAAUUAAUCCAAAACGUUAAAUUCAUCUCUAUAUUAAUUUGUCUCUAACACUAGAGACGAAAGUAAUAUAGACCGAUUUUACUUUUUCAAAUUGCAAUAUUUUUAACAUAAAUUCUACUUGGGAACUAAGAACCUAAAAUUGGAUUGUCUUUUACACAUAGAAGAUUCUUGGAGAAUUCAGAUUAAAAGACAGUAUGGUUCUGCCAUCAAUUAUCAUUCGUUAGAUUAUAAUGGUGAUCGAGAAUCUCAAUCCGUUGUUGAAAUGACUCGCAAAGAAAUUAUAAAUAAGGAAGAGCAAAAAUAAAUUAUCGUCGUGGCCUAUUUCAGAAUACCACCACAGAUUGAGAUCGAGCCUGUGUGUGGUUAAUUAGUUCAAGUUUAGAUAUAUACGAGGACAACAACAGACAGAUUCAACUACAUGUUCGAAAUAUUUUUAUUAUGACAGAACUAAAACAGUAUCAUACCACUUCUUUAUUGCCCAAUAAUAGCAAACUUUGUUGACCAACAAAAGUGAAGUGUGAGCUUUAACAUAUUUAAGAAUAUUAAAAAUAAGAUCAGAUGAGACUAUAACCACAAAACUCACGGCUCUCAUAAUCAUUACCAUCCACUUAUUGUGAACAACAAAACGUACAAAUUAAUUAUUUUGGAUAUUCCCAGAAUAACAUAUAUAUUUUAAUAUUUUAUCUAAAUAAUAACACAUCAAUUGGUGAGCUUCCCUUAUAAGAUGGGCGCAUCCUUUUAAUCCAUAGUUGUCCACUAGAAUUUUACUGAUUACAUGAACAUUUUCCUCACUUGCUUUAUUCAGUGGUACGUUCUGGUUUGUUUUUUAGGCCAUAGAAUUUGAACAUUUUUAAUCAUGAAUUCAUGAUACACGAGACAAAUGCAGCCUUGGGAAUUUGAUGGGAGGCAAUAUUUGUUCUUCAGUGGAGUAACCAUUUCCAACCUGGUUAUUUCCCAAUGGGUCUAAACUCUAAAGCAAAUUGAUAUUAACAAAAGGGCAGAUGUACUGAGAUAGUGGGUAGGAAGUUAAGAAUGAAAAUGACCUGAACAAUUUAUGUAUUAUUAUUUUAUAAAUAUAUCACGGUAAAGUUACACAGUUUCGGAUUGAUUAUUGAAGGAGUGGAUAAGGAAUCUCCAACUAAAGUGGGAUUAAAACUAAAAGGGUGGAAACUUAACCUUAGUGGAUCCAUUUGAGUAAAAGGACAGGUCAGUAUUUUAAAGCAAAAUGUGUGCCAUAGCUGUGUCUAGCACAUGCGUACGUAAAGGAGGAAAUAAAGAUGACAGUUACGUUCAUCUUUCUUUUUUUGUGUACAUUCGUUGGUUUUUUUGGGGUCUUCGUACACUCGUCUUUUAUAACUCUUUCUAGUAUUCUUUCGAAGUAAAACCGAUAAUAGAAAAAUAUAUAUUUAAUUACAGCAAAAAUUAGAGUACGCACAACAUUACUGUGCUAUUUUUAUAUAGUUAGGAGCUUAAUUAGUUUUAAAAUGUGAAUUCUGAUAUCUAUUUAAAAUUUUGUAACACGCUUCUAAUGAAUGUUAUUUAAUUAAUGUCAAUUUGGAUAAGUUUCUCCAAAAAGAUUUCUAGGAAAAAAUAUUAAGAAAAUAAAAUAAAAUGUUGUAUCGUUUUUUGCAUUAGUUAAAUUAUAGAAAUUCUCUUAUAUAAUUUCUUAAAUGAUGAAAGAACUCCUAUAAAUUAAUUAAUGUAAAAGCUAAUUUUAACUUGUGAAAAGUUUUUUUGAUUUCUUCUUAUUUUGUUCUCCUAAAAAUUCAAAAGUUUAUCUAAACAAUGUUAAAAAGAACUUUCACGUGUCAUCAUUUAAAUGGUAAACUUGUUUAAAGAUUACAAAGAACCUAACUAAUCAAGGUUUUAUGCAUAAUCAACUGCUCUUGAAUAAAAUACAGAUAUUAAUUAAUCACAUGUAAUCAACAAAUGUAUUCAUAUCAAUAAUUUAAAGUCAAUUUCUUUAAUAGUGAUUGGAGUUUCAUCUUGAUUCUUGAUAACUCAUAUAAAAAUUGUAGUAUGGAUUCCUUUUCUUUUUGGUACAUGCAGUAUGGAUUACUAAGAUUAAAGUUUUAACUUGAAAAAACAGUACUGAAAACACUUAUAGUACACUGUAAUUAAAUUUUUUCCUUAUAACUAAGUAUGUUGGAUUAAGAUUUUAAAAGAUAAUUUUGACAUAAAAAAAUUAUGUGAAUUUUAAUUAUUAUUUUUAUAAAAAUGUAAUAAUUUUUAAGAUUGUAUUAAAAUACUUUUAUGAUUGGGAUUUUAUAAUUUGAAUUUUAAGAAAUUUAUAACAAAUGAGUUCAUAAGAUUUAAAAAAAAUCAUAAAUUUCUAAAAAAAUAUUCAAAAUUAUAAGAGUGAAUAAAAAGAUAACAAUUCUAAUAUUCCACCACUUCACUUGGGUCUUUUCAUAAGCAACUGGUGUACAUGUAUCCAUAAGAAUAAUGUGUCAUUUUUGUUAUAGCUACUCCAAUUCCACGGAACCCAUUCAACACCUUGAAAAAACAUAAUUACACUCCCCUUUUCCCAAUAACACCUCCACGUUCUUCACGACCAGCACAAUAUAGUGUUUCCCAAUUGAAACCAAUACAUGUAAGGUAUAUUGUGUAAACAGGACGUGAACAUCAUCAUCAUCCACACGUAGAUAAAGGCAUAAGAAACUAUAAAAAAAAAUGUAAACCGUCAUAAAAGUUCACCACAAAAUACGAGUCUGAAGCACCAUGAAUCCUACUAACAACUCCAUGCCAAUACGACUACAAACUGUAACAUGAAAAAGUAUUGGAAAAUUUGAAGGGUUUUGGUGGGAGUGUUUGAUCGAUGGAUUGGUAUUUAUAUUUUUCACUAAAAAGUUAAGUGAAAUCCACCCUAAAAAGAAAUCCAUCAAAACUUUUAUAUUUUUAAAUACCACAAGAUUUUGUUCAUAAGUGAUAAAAAAUAAUACCAACAGAAUUUAUUAAACUCUUUAAAAGAUCCUAAUUAUUUUAAUUGAAUACCACAACAUUUAUUUUUAUCAUUUAAAAAUCUUGAUUGAAUAUUGUAAGAUUUUUUUUUUUUUUAAAAAAAAACCUUUCUAAUCCUAAUUAAAUACACCCCUAAAUUAACAAACGUAGAGUUAAAAUUUAAUCAUCCAAAUAAAUUUAAAUUUAUUUUGAGCAACUUACAAUCAUUAUAUUAUUUGAUAGAGUUUAUUGAUAAUAACUUUAGAUUACUUUAAAAAUAAAAGAAAUGAAAAUUAUUAAACAAGUUUUAUUUUAUUUUUAAAACUCUUAUUUUUAACUUUAACUUUGAAUUGUAGCUUUUAAGUUUAAGAAAAUGGGCCAAACUCAAACAUAACCUAAGCCUAUUAUAUUAACCGGGGGAAAAGGCUCACAUUUAAAAAUAAUAAAAUAAAAAUAAUAUCGGAUAUUUUUUAGGAUAUGAAUGUGGUGUAAGUUGGUUGAAGAGAGUAAUAGAGUCUCUUAGUUACUCCUUUUUGAGCUUUUUGAAGAGAGUUGAGAGUUACAUUCGUUUCACUUUCUCUCUACACAUUUAUUUUUUCAUUGUAUCCUUUAACUAAUAUUUUGGUCAAAGGAGGUUGUGAUAUAAUUGAGGGGUAAAAAGGUUAAGAAAAAGUGGAGACCAAAUGAUACCUGUUAAACUCUAUAUUCCCUUUAUUAAUGGUAUAAAUUAAUUUAAUUAAAUAAAAAAUAAUAAUGUAAGUUGACAUUUUGUUUUCGUGUUUUGUUUUUAUUGAAACUAAAAGAAUAAAAAAUAUGCUUUACUUUUGUUAAGUUUUGCAGAUAUUAUAAUUGGAUCAAACCAUGCAUGUUUGACCGGAAAACAUUUUACUUAUUAUAUUUAUUUUUGGUGUACCGAUUUAUUAUACAAGUAAAAUUAAUGAGUGACUCAUUCAAAUAAAGGUCUAAUAUCUUGGUUGAAUAAAUGGCCCAACCGUAACACUAUAUUUUUUUAAAGAUGUUGGUAACCAAUAUCUUAAAAAUUGUAAUUAAGAAAUUAAAAAAUAUUUAUUAUAAAAACCAUAAAAUAUAUAAAAAAAUAUCACCCCAAAAAAUAGGUUAUUCAAUGAAAACUAUUAAAGAACCGGUAAAAACUAGAUUAAAAUUAAUGUGCGGUAAAAAAGAUUAAAAUCAAUGCAAAAAAAAAAUCGGUUUAAAAUGGUAUAAAAAAAAAUAAAAACUAGUUUUUUUAAAUUUUUAGUUUUAUUUUUAUCAUAUUCUAAAAUAUUUCUAAGAUAAAUAAAAAUAUGAAUUUAAGAAUUACAAAUAGAUAUAAAUUAUUUUUUCAAUUAUUAUUAAUUUUUUAUCAUGUAAAAUAUUGUAUUUUACAAUUUUGUAUACCUUAAUUUUUUAUAAUUUUAUAAUAUUUUAUCACUUCAAAUAUUAUAUAAUUACUACCCUUUCAAACAAGUUACUAUGGUGCAAUUUUAAAAAUAUUGAUACAAACAUUUUUAACUAAAAUUGAAUUAAAAUGAUAUAUUUGUUCCAGAUUAUUGACCAUGUCCCUUGUCUUGUCUUGUUCUGUACUUUUGCAACAUAAAAAUUGUGUCAUUGCUUUCUGAUCUUAACAAGAAGUGAAAAAUAAAAGUAAAAGGCAACGGAAGAAUAAGUACAUUAGUUAGGGUCAAAGAAGGAAAGUUGGAAGAUUUGGACAAAGAAUGUGUUAUCGAAAGCGAAGACAGGGUUAGCAAGCUGUGCCUUUUCUUCUACCCACUGUUUUCCUCUCAAACUACCACCUUGAUUAUGACCUCCCACAUACACACAAAUUCAAUGCAUAAUUAAAUGUUUAUGGUAAGUUUUUUCAGCAUUAUAUUUUCAUUUUUGUUAGUUCUAUUUGGCGAUGCAAAGUACUACUACUCAUAUUCGUGUCCUCUUGCCUCUUGUUCUGAAUAUUCAUCCAUUUCUUUAUAUGCUAUUUGGAUCUCAUCACUCUUCAUGCUAGCCACUUUCGAUAUACACAUGUGGAAUAUGCAUGUUGUUGACUAUAUUUGUUUAAUCAAAGUCACUCCAUUAAUUGAAGAAAACAUAUAAUAUUGGAGAAAUGGCAUGUCAUAAAUUAAAUUAAAUUAAAUUUCAACGGCUGAAGAUAACUUUCAAGUUUUUUUUUUUGGUAAAAGCUUUAAUAAAAUGCCCCAGUAGAACUUUUAGGUAUAAUUUAAGAAAAACAGCAAAAAUCUUUGUCUUUGGUUAUAUUUUAAGAAUAUUAAAUUUAUAAUUUAUAUCCUUUCUAAGCAAAUAAGUGGAUGUGCACCUAUUUGUUUUUUACACAAAGUAUUCUAGCAAACUACAUUUUAAAUGUACAUUCAGAAAAUCAAAGUUAUAAUUUAUUAAUAUAUUUAUUUAUACUAAAAAAUAACUAGGUAUAUUGUAACAAAAAAAAAACUACGUGUACAUUAACAAAUCUAUGACAGUGUUCAAAUCAAUUGUACAACACGUAUACUGUUGUAUAUACACGGAUUAAAUCGAAGUUCUUGCAGCAGUUUGAGCUUGCCUGUUGUUUUAUUUAUAUUUAUAAUUUAAAGAUAAAUUAUGAGUGAUUUUUCAUAUUUGGAGCCCCAGCAAGCAGAAACUUUCAAGCGCCACUUUAUUUCAUAUUUUUUGUCCUCUAGUGUUUCAUUUCAAUCCCAUGUUUUUUGACCAAGACGGAAAUAGUUUUGAGAUGUCCUGGCAUCAUGAUUCAUGAUUCAUGAUUCAUGAUUCAUCUCAGCAAAAUCCAACUUUCAAACACUUUGAACGACGAGGAACAAGGAACAAUAAACAAAUAGUAAAAUACCAUCCUUUUAAUUUGUCUUUGUUUUUUUAGGUUGACGUUUCGUCAUUGAAUUGGCCACUGCCAAUGUAUGGUCGAUUUUUUUUUUAUUUUUUUUUAUCCUUGCGAAAAUUUGAUUUUCAUAAAUUAUACCUAAAGUAUUUAGAUGUGAUUGUAACACGUGAAUUUAUUUAAGCCACACUCUUAUUUUCGCCAUUCUUUUAUUCUAAAAUUUCAUACUGUUUUCUCCUUCAGCUCAAAAUAUUAUUCAGUCAUCUUAAUUUUAUUUGUGUUAUAGAUUUAUAUUUUUUAUUUUUUAGUGUGUUUAGGAUUUAGGGUAUAAAAUAUAAUUUAAAAACAAAACUGUACAAUAUUGUUGAGUGCAGCGACGACCAAAAUUAAUUAAAAACAUACCUUAUUUAAUCCUUUUAAGUUUACCUCAAUUUACUUCCAAUGUUUCAAUCGCACGUAGUUUCUUUUUGUUAAAUGAUUAAAUUAAAAGGAAUUUAUAUUGAUACGGCCUUCAUGUUGAUAAGUGUGAGUUUUUCUCAAUAUAUAUUUUUUUAUCGUCAUAUUAUAUGAUUUUUUUUAUGUCUUGCUCCUUUAAUAAUGAGAGGAGAUUAAAAAAAAACAAACUACUUUUGUACCUAUGUGAAAAGUCAGAUUACUAUACGAACAAUCCAACAGGCUACUUAUGUGAUCCCAAAAUUUAUUAUUUGCCAUUAGUUAAACAAACUAAUAAAAAUGCUCAAAAUGGGUUAUAAAAAAUGCUCAAAAUGAUAAUCAAGUAAAUUAUCUUUCGAAUGUAUAUUGUUUACAAGAUUCAUGAAAGUAAGUUUUAAUUACUGUGUUAACAAGAUUAAAUAUUUAUAAAAUAUAUAUAUUUUUUAAAGUAGUAUCUCGUGCAUUAUAUGAUAUUUUUAAAUGUAAAGUAUAAAAUAAAAUAAGCUUAAAUAUUUUUUUUAAGUCUAUGUGAACAUGGUUUUACCUGAUUUUAAUUGUUACAAUUUAUGUUUGUUACUUUUAGAUCCUAACAGUUUUUGUGUUUGUUUCAGUUCUUACCAUUAACUGCGGUUAGUUUAUAUAGUGUUGACAGUGCUAACAAGAUAAAAAAGUAUUAAUUAAAAUAAUGAAUAAUAUUUUAAACUAAAAUAAUUAGAUUAUUUUUAAGUGUUUGAUUUAAUUAAAUAGUAUAUUUAUUAUCAAUAUAUCAUGAACAAUUAUUUUUAUUUUUAUAAUUUUCUCUUUUGUUGUAGAUUUUUAUAAUUUACUUUUAAAAUGGUAUUUUUGUUAUAAAAAAUAUAAUUUACUUAAACGCUUAUAGUUUGCUUUUAAUAUAUUACUUGCAAUAUUACAUUUCAAUUUAUUAAUUGACUUCUUAUAAUAUAAUUUUUAUAAAUAAUAAUAAUAAUAAUAAUAAUAAAAUAGAGAUAUAAUGAAACUUGCUUGACUCACUCAAAAGGCUAAUUGAUUAAUUUGAUAGUUUUUACAAUAUAUUUAUUAAAAUAUUUUCUAACAAAUUAUUGGUAUGGGGCUAUUUUUUGAUGUACCGACAAGGGAGAUGAAAAUUAUUAGUCCAUGCAGUAAUUUCUCUUCCGCCUUUUUUAUUUUAUUUUUAUUUUUUUUAGCAUUUAUAUGCCUAUGUGCAAUAUACUUUUUUUUAAAGUGGUUGUUAAGAAUUUCAAGAUGUAUUUUUUUCUUUUUCAAUAAUACCCUUACAUAAGUGAAAUAAUUAAUACUACUUCUUAAUGUAUUUUAAAUUAGAACAUUAUUCCUUGAAAAGAUAAUUUAAUCACCAAAUGCCAUUGGAAAAAUUAUAAGUUGGAGUAAGUUAUAAAUUAAAUACUUGACAAUAAUAUAGAAAUUUAUAAAGUAAUAAAUGAGGAUAUUUUGUCUCAAUUCUUAUGAAUUAAAUGUGUCUCAAUCUUAUGUAAAAACCUUAAACAAUUAAAUAGUCUUUAAAAUAAUAACUAUAUAAGUAGUACUUAAAAUAUUGAAUAUCCAUCCAUUUAGUCUUUAAAAUAUUGAUAUAUUUUAUUAAGAUUUUAAGACUAACUUUAAAGCUUUUUCAAUACUUGAAAAAAUAUUGAUUUUUUUAUAUCAAUUUUCAAUGUUGGGAAUUUUAAGAAAAUAUUCAAUUUUUUAAAUGUGAAUAACAAAAUUAAAUACUAUGACUUUUUUAAUUAGAGAAAAGUUAUAUCAAUUUUUUAUAUUUAAGUUUAAAAAAAUACAUCACACCUGCUAUAGUUAUUUUUUUUUGUAAUUAAAAAAAAGAACUUUAAAAAAUGACUUUUUUUCAGAAAAAAAUGACUCUUAUAUCAUAUGUGUAUUUAUUUUGAGUAAAAGUGAAAAUGCAAAAAAGAGAUGGAAUUAUUAUGAUUUAUUCAUGAGGAAGUACAUCGUCAUCCAACGUGGCAUAUGUAGCCACGUGGCAUGGACUCAAGUAUAAAAUCUUGGUCCUCCCUCGUACUCGCGCUCGUACGUCCUCUUUCUUAUCGGCGUAGUAACCAAACCAAACCAAACCAAUCUCCCCCUUCUUCUCCGCUUCACAACAAAAAGAUUUAGAGAGAGAAACUCUCUCUCUCUCUCUUCUCUUCUCUUCUCUUCAACCACUUUCUCUUUCUGGAACCGUCCAUGCCUCCACCGGAUACACAACGUACAAAACUCACAACUGAUUUCGUAGAAACAUACACAACAAAGAUGAUGAUAAAGUGCUCAACCACUUAAACUCAGACGCAAUUUCCCUCGAAAAUAAGAAAGAAAUAACAAAAAAGAAAGUUAAAACGCGCAUGGCGUCGCCGUUGGACGGAGGAGGAGUGGCGGUGCUCCCGAAUUCCGUCAACAAGGUUGACUCCUCCUCGGUUCUCAAUGGCGGCUUGAAGUGCUCCAAACCGGAGUCGCCAAUUUUGAUUUUCUUGUUCUUUCACAAAGCGAUUCGGAAUGAGCUUGACGCGCUGCACCGAUUGGCCGUCGCAUUCGCCACCGGCAACCGCUCCGACAUUAAGCCGCUCUCCGGCCGCUACCAUUUCCUCAGCUCCAUGUACAGGCACCACUGCAAUGCUGAAGACGAGGUGCUAAUCUUCCUUCACCUUUACGUUUUCGGACUUGUUAAAUCGUGUAACCUAAUUUCCCGUUGUGAGAAAAAUGGCGUAGAGAGUGGAGAUUUCAUAGCUGGUUGCAUUUUCAAUGACGAAACGAAAUGACACUCUUGUUUCUUCUGUCGGUCAUUUCCUCUUGUUAAAUUUUGGUCAAACUUUGAUACUCCCUAACUAGCUUGAAUAUAGAUUUUGCUUUUACAGAAUAAAUUGAUUUGCAGGCUAUGCAUGUUUCUUAAUCUUCUUUACUCUUCUGUUAUUGUUCGUACCAAGAGAUGAUAAAAUAGAAAAGGAAAACUGUAUUAUAUAGCAUUUUUGCUUGGGGGCAGAAGCUAAGUUCAGUUGCGGAGGAAGAAAAAUAAGUAUUGAAGCGGAAGAUAUCAUUUCCUUAAUUGCAGCGGCGUUUUCUGAUCUUUUUGUUUAUUCUCAUUUUUUAAUCUACGCGUUUGUGCACAUGUCGUGGUUAUACUGUGUAUUGUGCAUAAAAAAAACGAAGUAAAAACCUCCCUGUUUGUGACAUUGUCACUAAAUAUCCACAAUAAAACUGAUUGAAUGCUAUGUAGCAGAAAAAGAAAAAGACCAGAUUGAAUGCUAAUGCUGAUGCUCAUUCAUUACUAAACCGAGCUUUUAUAAGCUUGUAAGUUAAUGUGGUUAGCUAACAGCUUCUGGUGCAUAAAGUUAUUUCAUUUUCUCCUACUAGAUAUGAAGUGAUCUUUUACUGUCAGUCCUUCAAUGCAUUUCUUGUAAUAAAUUGUUUAGAUGGGAAAGCUUUGUUUCAAAAUUUAAAUUAUCAGAGCUUCCUAUAGGUUUCUUGAUUAGUUUGAUGACUGCUUUUUCUUUUGUAAUAUUAAGGCUAUAUGCUUUUGGCUGUGCUUCUUUCAUACUUUCUCGAAAGCAAUAUUUUCAUAAUUUGGCUUUAUCACUCCUUCAGCUAUGUUUUGAUCAUUCUGAGGGAAAUAUAUUCUGGGAUGUAGGUGAUUUUUCCAGCUCUAGAUAUACGUGUGAAGAAUGUAGCACAGACAUAUUCUCUCGAGCACAAGGGUGAAAGCAACCUUUUUGAUCAUCUAUUUGAGCUUUUAAAUUCUUCCAUCAAUAAUGUUGAAAGUUUUCCAAAAGAGUUGGCAUCCUGCACAGGAGCUUUGCAGACGUCAGUUAGUCAACACAUGGCGAAGGAAGAGGAGCAGGUAAAAGUUUAUUUAAUAGCUCUUACCUUGUAUCCCACUUGGACUCAUGCAAUGAGAUAAAUAUCAUGUGAUGAUAUUUCCUCUCUAAAAGAUAGAAUUAUUAUUAUUGCUUAACAGAAAUUCAUAAAGACGAAGAGAAUAUAAUUACAAAGAGUUUGGAGAGUAAAGAAUCCUUCAUAUUGCAAAAAACAAUUGCUAAUAUUAACUAUUGGAAGUGCCAGAGAGGCUAUUAUACGUUGCAACCGUAUAACUAUAAAAACUAUAUUAAUUUUUUAUGUUUACUAAUUGAUUUAUCAUUCAUGCUUUGCUUACUUGAUGGGUUAAGUAUUCUUGUGGAGUACUUUUAAUGCAACCAUAUGGGCUUUGUCUAGUGAUUCAACUAGAGAAGUAAUCAUUAGUAUGUCCUAGAAUGACCAAUUAAGUCGAUUAGGGUUUUUUAUGCUAGAAGUUAUUGUUUUAUCUAAAUUGGUAAAUUAUUAUUGAAGCAUGCAACGUGGUAUUUAAUGUUUUCCUAUAUUAUCAAUACUUGCUAUAUUGAACUUUUGAAGCCAUUGCUUUUUGCCAUUUCCCCCCAUCCAUCAAAGUCUAAAGAAGGAAUCUUGAUAGUUAAAUUGUUCAGGAUCAUAAGAUUGCAUCAGUUGUUGAGGAUAUAAUGAAUGGAUAGUUAGAUGUUGCGAAAUGUUUGUUGAACAUUAUUGGAUUAUACAAGUAACCCUAAUUAAUAAAACAAAAGCUUUUUGUUUAAUUUAUCAUAGAAGAAACUUUAUUAUAAACAUGAAUGGAAGAGUAUAUAAAAUGAUCUGGCAUUCUAAGAACCAGUGCCUCAGGCAUACUUUUUGUGGAUGAUACUGUCCUGGUUGAUGAGUUUCAUUUACAUAGAAAGGCUUUGGAACUGAAGAGUUUUUCCUGGCACAAGAUAGGAGUAAGGUAGAGUUAUGGUUAACAAGUUCAACAAGACUGGGGUUAGCAGUGUGCUGGAGGUUAAAACUUGGAUCACAUCUUACCAUGAAUUUGUGCUGGUUAGGUAUUUUGGAUUCUUCCUACAAAGUGAUGGGGAUAUUGAAAAUAAAUGUAUGGUAAAUCUUUGUGAAAUUUAUAUAAAUUUCAAUUUUAGCAAAAAGAGAGUAGAAAAAAAUAUGAAACUUUGAUUUAUAUAAAAACUGAUUACUAUGAAAUUAAGUUUUAGUGGGACUUCUUUUGAACUAGUUUUGACUUGAAAAGCCCUCGAAUAAGAACUAGUUUGUUACAAUUGAGUGCCAAACAAACACAUAAUAUAUCUGAACUGGUCUUAUUGUAUCUAGUUAUCUUAUCUGUUUUUUGGUAGUUGGCAAACACCUCCUUUAUUGAGCUCGAAAAACAAAUCAAAAUGCAGCCUUCCAAUUUGUCCUGAUUAUCAUAGUGGUCAUUCUAACGAGAGUACAAGACUCUUUGCUGAUCUUUAUAAAGAUGCCUAGAAGGCAAGUCAAUCUUUUAUAUGGAUUGGUGGAAAUUUAUCUUUAUGAUAGCUAAAGAAGGAAGAAAAGGGGCCUGUUUGUAUAAGCUUUUUUAUUUUUAUUUAAAAAAACACUUUUUUUUAGUAAAAUAAGCAGUUUUCUGUUUUUUUGAUGUAUUUGUCAAGACUAUUUUUCUUAAAAAAAGUUUUUUGCUUUUUUUAAGAAGUAAAUCCUAUCUGCUUCUUAAAUAAACAUUUUUUUUAUAAUCAUUUUUUUAAAUUUAAAGUAAUUGGCCCAAAAGCUGCCUACUUUUUUUUUCAGGAUGGGGUGAGGGGGGAGGAAAUUGAGAUAUUAUUUGAAAGAACAAAAAUAAUUACAAGUAGGGGUAGCAUAUGACACCUCUAUAAGUCACUAAAAAUAAAAAAAUAAAAAAAUUCUUCCCACUUAACAAUGCACAUCCAGAUCCUUUUAUGAUCCCUGUUAGACAAUAUUGUACAUCAGAUCCAGAAUUCCAGAUCACUGAAUUAAUUAUGAUUCUUGUAAGAAGAUUAUCAUAGAUGAUCUUAAUCGACAUGUCAAUUUUGGGUUAUAUACUUUGAUCUGGUUUUGUGUCCACUUUAACUUCUUAUGUCCUUUGGAUCUUAUCUGUAACACUUGACUUACAGAUCUUAUCAUGAGAUUUAAUAAUUUCUAGGACAUUUAUGGCUUACGAAGGAUUUCUUUUCUCCUUUUCUGCUCUUAUGAAAAAUUAUCCAAAACAUUCAACUAUUUCUGUUCCCAGCCAAACAAGAUAACUUCUUUGGACUUACCUUGCUUUUUGACAUGGCCUUGGGAGGUGGGGGUGGGGGUUGUCUUAUUAAAUAGUCUGCCAAAUGAAAAUGAUAGCUGCAUGCAAUUUUUGUGCUCAGGGUGCCAUUGCCCCACUUGCAUUAAACAUAUUCAAAUCAGCGUUUUAAAUCCUGGAUUGCGGCAUGUAGUGGCCUGCCCUAAACACAAUGUUGUGGGAUAGCAGAUAGCAGCUAGUAGAUAGCCGCUAUUGGAUUUUUUUUAUAUAGUUUACAUCAUGUAUACUAUAUACCUAUAAGUUCUCAAAAAUGAUAAAAAUUAAUGACAUUCAUAAUUAUCAAUAAAAAGUCAUAGAUGUCUUUAAAAAAACAUAAAAGUUUCCUAGAUAGAAAUCAUCAGUCACCAUCUAAAUCCAAGUCUACUUUUUAUCAUUUUCACUUUUUUACUACUAUCAUUAAUGUGAUAUUAGUAAAUAUAUUAUUAUUGCUACACUUAUCACCUUUGGAAGUUUCUUUUGAAAUUGAGUAUUUCAAAUAUCACGUUAAUCAAUCACACAUUGUUUCUUGAAAAGUUAUUAUUAUUAUUAUUGUUAUUAUCAACUUAUUAAUUGUUUUAUGGGUACUGAAUAUUACCUUAUUACUUUAUCUAUAAUUUUGUUUACUGUUAAAAUUUCAGCCUUGUAAGGAAAUGAGUACUUUGUAUAAAAAUUCCUGCUAAAAAAUUGAACUCAAGAAAGCAUUACAAAUCCGAUUGCAUUUAGAAUUUAUGACAUGGAGUAAAUUGUUUAUUAUUGUGACGGGUUAAUGGUUUAACAUGUACAUGGAAGCUUUUCUUUUAUGAUGUAAUUUCCUGUGAUUAAUUAAUGGGGUUCAUAUGUACUGAGGAGCUUUUUUAUUAAUGGGUUGGUAUACUAGCUAGGUAACAUAUAAUCAAGUUCCACUGCUAGUUCUCUUUAAGGAAGUUUGUACAAUACUGAAAUCUGUUUAUAAGCUGGUGUCCCAAAGGAGGAUUCUUGGGGUAUCAUUUUGUUAUGGCCAAUUUAAAUGGAUACAUAAUCUUAUUUGCUCAGGGAUGUUUCUGACUUUUUUUGUUUGUCGAGUGAUAUCAGGUAUUUCCUCUGCUUAUUGAGAAGUUUUCUCUUGAGGAACAGGCAUCCUUAGUGUGGCAGUUUCUUUGCAGUAUUCCUGUGAAUAUGAUGGCUGAAUUUCUACCGUGGCUUUCAGCAUCUAUAUCACCUGAUGAAUCUCAGGAUUUGCGAAAUUGCUUAAUCAAGAUAGUGCCAGAGGAAAAACUCCUUCAAAAGGUGUGGUUUUCAAAUGCUAACAGAGCAUUGUUGUUUCCUUUUCUUUGUUAAUGUUUUUUUAUGUGUUGAAUAUGAUGAUGCUAUUUAUUGUUAGCUGACCGCCAAUAAGGAGAUUCUACAUUAGGAAGAAUGAGAGUUUAGGGAAUUAGAGGCUUAAACUUCUAUUAAUAGAAAUAACAGAAACUGUCAUUUAUAGUAAUAACUGUUUGUACAGAUAGUUAUAAGGAAGUUAGGGAGAGUAAUUGGGGGGUGUCAAUUGUUUUUGAGAAAAAAGAGAGAAGAGGCCAGGUCUCUCAAAUCUUUAUUUCACAAAUACAUGUGUUCUUCAUCUCUGUUCUGUAUGCAUUGGCACUAUUGCAGAGAUUGAUUGUUUUGCAAUGAAGACUACUCAUCUGUCUCAUAUUCUGGUCUUGUUCUAUUAUUUAUAUUCAUUUGAUUUGAUAAUUGAUAUGUAACUGUAAUAUAUCUUAAUCUUAUAUUCUUGCUUAUUGAAGGUUGUUUUCACCUGGAUGGAAGGAAGAAGUAGCAUUAACACAGUUGAAACUUGUGCAGAUCAUUCUCAAGUUCAAUGUAGUUCUAGGGCAUUAACCCAUCAGCUUGAGAAAGUAAACUGUGCUUGUGAAUCCACAACAACUGGAAAAAGGAAACAUUCUGGAUCUAUGAUAGAUGUUUCUGAUACCACUGGAACACAUCCUAUAGAUGAAAUAUUGCUCUGGCAUAGUGCAAUAAAAAAAGAGUUAAGUGAGAUAGCAGUGGAGACUAGAAAGAUACAGCACUCUGAAGAUUUUACUAAUCUAUCUGCUUUUAACGAAAGAUUUCAAUUCAUAGCUGAAGUUUGCAUAUUUCACAGGUAUCACCUUAAUUUAGUUUGAUCAAUAUUUGUCUAUUGGAAGUAUCACAUCUCUCUUCUAUUAGCAAUUCCAUACUUAAUUUAUCAUAAGACAUACCUUGUUAUCUGAAAUGCUGACUAUUUAUUUUUAUAAAUGCAGUAUUGCUGAGGACAAGGUUAUUUUUCCAGCAGUAGAUGGAGAAUUUUCUUUCUUUCAGGAGCAUGCUGAAGAAGAAAGCCAAUUUAAUGACUUUCGGCGUUUGAUUGAAAGUAUUCAAAGUGAAGGAGCAUCGUCUAAUUCAGAUGUUGAAUUUUAUUCCAAGUUAUGCAUACAUGCUGAUCAUAUAAUGGAAACCAUACAGAGGCAUUUCCAUAAUGAAGAAGUUCAGGUGAGCCUUCAUUGCUCAUGUGAUAAUCUUUUUAAGUGACUAGUGUGAGAUAAGAGAGUGUUAUGCAAAUGCAAUGCUAAUUGCUACAAGAGUAAUUAAUUUCUUGCUGGGAUUUGAAUGUCAUAUAUGCAGAAGUUGAUAAAUGUGGUAAUUGUUUUAUCUAUUUAGUUAAUUAACUCGGGAAGUUCUUUGUAAGGAAUUUGCAACUAAGCUCUGUUUUAAUCUAUUAGUGUUCUGAAUUCCUCUCAUCUAUAGGUUCUUCCACUUGCAAGAAAGCACUUUAGCUUUAGAAGGCAAUGUGAACUUUUGUAUCAAAGCUUAUGCAUGAUGCCUCUGAAAUUGAUUGAGCGUGUCCUGCCAUGGUUGGUAGGAUCUUUAACUGAAGAUGAAGCAAAGACGUUUCAGAGAAAUAUGCAGUUGGCAGGUUCUAUGUCUCUUCAAACCUCCUUGCCUUAAAGAAAUUAUAUCUCCGAGAAUUUUAUUUAUGUGUAAUCUAUAUUUGACAACUUAAUAUGUUUCAGCUCCAGCAACAGAUUCUGCUCUUGUCACACUCUUCUGUGGAUGGGCUUGCAAGGCUCGUAAUGAAGGUCUGUGUUUGUCUUCAAGUGCAUCAGGUUGCUGUCCUGCUCAAAGACUUUCUGAUAUUGAAGAAAAUAUUGUUCGGCCAUCCUGUGCUUGUGCAUCUGCAUUAUCUAAUAGACAUUGCUCGGUAUUAGCUGAAUCAGGUGGGAACAAAAGAUCAGUCAAGCGCAACAUAUUGGAGUCGCACAAAAAUGAAGAUCUACCUGAAACUUCAGAGACUGAAAAUAUUCAGAAACAAUGUUGUAGUGCACGGUCUUGUUGUGUGCCAGGUUUAGGAGUAAGUAGUAACAAUUUAGGGCUGAGUUCUCUUUCUACAGCCAAGUCCUUACGGUCCUUGUCUUUCUGCUCUUCUGCCCCAUCUCUUAAUUCCAGUCUUUUCAUAUGGGAAACAGAGAGCAGCUCAUGCAAUGUUGGAUCUACACAAAGACCAAUUGAUACCAUAUUUAAAUUCCAUAAAGCUAUACGCAAAGACUUGGAGUAUCUAGAUGUUGAAUCUGGAAAGCUGAGUGAUGGUGAUGAGACAAUUCUUCGGCAAUUUAAUGGAAGAUUUCGUCUUUUGUGGGGUUUGUAUAGAGCUCAUAGUAAUGCUGAAGAUGAUAUAGUAUUUCCAGCUUUAGAAUCCAAAGAGGCACUUCAUAAUGUGAGUCAUUCGUACAUGCUGGACCAUAAGCAGGAAGAACAAUUGUUUGAAGAUAUUUCCUGUGUUCUUUCAGAGUUUUCUGUCCUUCAUGAAGCCUUGCAGAUGACGCAUAUGUCCGACAAUUUAAGUGAAAGUAAUUUUGGAACCUCUGAUGCCAAUACUAGUGAUGAUAUCAAAAAAUAUAAUGAACUUGCUACUAAGCUUCAGGGGAUGUGCAAAUCUAUAAGAGUGACCCUGGAUCAGCAUCUUUUUAGAGAAGAAUGCGAACUGUGGCCAUUGUUUGGCAGACAUUUCACUGUGGAAGAACAAGACAAGAUAGUGGGUCGGAUAAUUGGAACAACAGGUGCUGAAGUUCUCCAAUCAAUGUUACCAUGGGUAACGUCUGCACUUACUCAGGAUGAACAGAACAAAAUGAUGGAUAUAUGGAAGCAGGCAACUAAGAACACUAUGUUCAACGAAUGGCUUAGUGAAUGCUGGAAAGAGAGUCGAGUGUCUACAGCACAGACAGAAACGUCAGAUCACAGCACUUCUCGGAGAGGUAUGUAAUAAGAUUUUAGAUUCUUUCAUCUUUUGUGGAAAUUGUGGGAUUGAAUAUUUAAUAAUAUAGUGUGUUAUUGUUCUUUCCUAGGUGCUGAAUAUCAAGAAAGCUUGGACCACAAUGAUCAGAUGUUCAAGCCAGGUUGGAAAGACAUAUUUCGGAUGAAUCAGAAUGAACUUGAGUCAGAGAUCCGCAAGGUAUAUCGAGACUCAACUCUUGAUCCAAGGAGAAAAGCAUAUCUUGUGCAGAAUCUACUGACAAGGUUGGUUCCAGUGAUCAUACUUUUGGUGUUAUUUAAUAGGGACAAAAAUUGCUGUAUAUUUGUUUGAUAGCACUUUAGUCUAUUGUCAUCAAGCUUCAAUUGUUGAUUAGUUAUUUUUGUCUUUUACUAGUCGAUGGAUAGCUGCCCAGCAGAAAUCACCUAAAGCUUUAUCUGAAGGAUCAUCUAACAGUGUAGAAAUAGAAGGACUCUCACCAUCAUUUCAGGACCCAGAGGAACAUGUAUUUGGGUGUGAGCACUAUAAGAGAAAUUGCAAGCUUCGGGCUGCAUGUUGUGGCAAGUUAUUUACUUGCAGAUUUUGUCAUGACAAUGUCAGUGAUCACUCUAUGGAUAGGUAAAUUUCUCAUGGGAUUUCUUAUGUCUUAUAUUUUAUAAUAGUAUUUACUUCUAAUCAUCUGCUUGGUCAUUACAGAAAAGCAACAUCAGAAAUUAUGUGUAUGCGCUGCCUGAAUAUACAGCCAAUAGGGCCCAUAUGCAUGACACCUUCAUGUAAUGGGUUUUCAAUGGCAAAGUACUAUUGCAAUAUAUGCAAAUUUUUUGAUGAUGAAAGGUAUCUUUUAGUUCUUCAGAGUCUAAAAAAUUUGGUAUUAAAAUUUCUAUUACCUGUUGAAGCUUGAGGCAUACAUAUUUAUACUUCUGAAAACAAUCUAUAGUUAAAAAAAUUUAGUCUGUGUAUAUGAAUGUUUUAGCAAGAAAUAGAUCUAGUUGAUUAUAGUUUAGUCUUUCAACUUUUUGGUUAAUUCUAUUUUCCUUUGUAACUUUUAUUACAUCAAACUUUGCAUCAUUCAUUUUCAGGAAUGUAUAUCAUUGCCCAUUUUGCAAUUUAUGCCGUGUUGGACGAGGGCUUGGGAUUGAUUAUUUUCAUUGCAUGAAAUGCAAUUGUUGCCUGGGGAUUAAAUCAGCAUCUCAUAAGUGCCUGGAGAAAGGUUUAGAAAUGAACUGCCCAAUUUGUUGUGAUGACCUGUUCACUUCAAGUGCCACAGUCAGAGCUCUACCUUGCGGCCACUAUAUGCAUUCUGCUUGCUUCCAGGUCUAUUUCACACCUAUUUUAGGUUUUAGGUUUUAAUUCCCUACCCAAACCGGGGGUACCCUAUUCUCAAGGGUUGUGGAUUCAAUCUUAUAUUUUGUUAAAUUAUGUUAGGCAUACACUUGUAACCACUACACAUGUCCAAUCUGCAGCAAGUCAUUGGGAGAUAUGGCGGUAAGAUGAUUUUCUUUCAUUAAAUCUUUCCUUUGCACUCAACUAAGACUUUAUUCUCCACCUUUAUAAUUCUCCAUAAAAAAGAACAAAAUACUUAUAGAUUCACAAAAAUCUGCAAAGGAAAACUAAACAGGGCUAUUAGUUUAAUAAUGCUCUACUAUCUUUCUAACAUGUACUUGAGAGUUGAGUCCUCAAGUUGAAGCAAAAUAAAAGAUGUUAACAAUUAGCAUUUGUUCAUAUAAUUUAGUUAAAUGUAAAGCUUGAUAUUGCUUAGUUUGGAAAAAUUAAAACUUGAAAAGUAUAUGUCUAUUGAUCUUUAACAAAUUUAUGCAUAUGAAGUUGCAGUUUUUAAAUUUGGAAUUUAAGAUAUCUAAAGAUUGUAAGAAGAAAUGCAUUCCUUUGAUCAAGAAAUUCAUUGAAAAGAUGAGGGAUAUAAUUAGAAUAUUCAUGUCAAAUAAAUUGAAAUGCUUGAAGAGGUUACCCGACAUACUAUUCUUAGUUUUUUCUCUAUCUACCCAGGUUUACUUUGGUAUGCUUGAUGCCCUAUUGGCUGCUGAGGAGCUUCCUGAAGAGUACAAGGACCGCUGUCAGGUGAGUACUUUUGUCUCUUCACUUCAUUCCUUUCGAAAGCUAAUGUGGAUUUUAUGAAAGAGAGCAUUUUGACAUUUUAGUUGACCUGCAAAGAAUUUGUAAGAUCAAUGUAUGUUAAGCCAGUUUUGUAAUGGCAUUGCAGGACAUACUCUGCCAUGACUGUAAUCGGAAGGGCACUUCACGCUUCCACUGGUUGUAUCACAAAUGUGGAUUUUGUGGCUCUUACAAUACCCGGGUUAUCAAGUGUGAGACGUCAAACUCCAGCUGCUCUUAGUGUGCUUCUUUUGUCGGGAGGUAGACAGAGUUUGUAAAUACUUGUAUAGCAAAUUAGGAAUCCAAAUUUUUCCAUGAAUAGGAGCCCCCUUAUCUUUUCGUCUUAUACUUGAACAGAUGCUCCUAAUCAGUCUUAUAGCAAUUAUGUACAGAUCAACUUUCUAUUAAUGCAACAUAUAUUGUUGCAGCUCCUAUUCAUUUCUUUCUUCUGAUCGUUAACUUCAUUUAAGUUCACUGACUUUGCUGCGAUCACGCUGAGCAAUUUAUCUCCAAAUUUCCUAGCUACUGGCACUGGCUAGACGUAUAUGUUGGCUAACAAGUGCACAACUGAUUGAACUGAAAAAUAGCUGAAAGCCUGAAGUCCUGAACAUAGUUCUUGAAUCAUAGGAAGAGGAUAGGAAAAAUAUAGUAUGUAUAUAUUUUUGUACCUUGCUUGGAUACCAUGAUAUACCAUGCGCAUCUUGCAGGUUCUGUGAAAUAAUUUCACAUUCACGCAAAGUAAAAAGGAACGAAUUACAAGUUCUUUUAAAUCAGGAGAUUGUAGUUGUAGCAGUAACCUUGAGAAGUUCCUCUAUGGCAUGUUCCUCAAGGUUUAGACCAGCAAUUCUGUCCAAUUUCCAUAGUAUAAUUGUCAGAAUGUUCCAUUUUAUUUUAUAGCCUAUCAGCUACGUUCAAGAGAUUUAAAUAAGUUUGGGAGCAGCAGUAACAUAAAAAAUGACAACCCACCUCCGAAACCAAAAAAGGAACUAGUCUAACAACUCAUUAACAAAUGAAGUUUAGUUUUCAUUAAAAAAAAUGCAGUUUGGUUUUUUAUUAUUUCCAUUUAUUCUAUUUCUUUCUUUUCUAUUUCCUUUCACUCUAUUUUUUUUAUUUAUUUCUUUCCUUUCUACUUCCAUAUUUACAUUCACUCUAUUUUUUAUUUAUUUUUUCUUUCUUUCCUACAAAACGCACUCUAAAAAUGUUAUUCCAAUUUUAAACAAACUUCUAAACAUCAAAAUUGAAUUUCAAUAACGAACCUCAAUGUCAUGCUUAAUUUAAUGGGUCAUGUGAAAAAUAAUUAAUGCAUUUUUUGGUGCUCAAUCAACAAGAAAACAACAGCACGGUGAUCUAUGCAUUUUGUGCAAGGUUCUUGUACAAUCUGUCUCCGAAGUCUAACAGCUGAGCUAGAGCAUUUCUCUGUGCAAGGUUCUUAUAUAAUCUCUCUCCGAAGUCGGUUUAUCAGUAAAAUUUAUAUUCUUAUACCUAAGAAUAAAAACACUGCCCACCUUUUCUUCAUCUUUAGGGCAAUGAAAUAGAGUCCCACAAGGAAGAAUAAUUAAGUUUAAGUAUUUUUAUCGUAAGAGUAAAAAGGUGAGCGAGGUUAGAAGAGGUGUUCUUUGAGCUUGGGAUGAAAUAAAAAUGAGAGGAGAUGAUGGAGGCCAAGUCUGGCAAUGAGGAGCAAGGACUGGCCUCCUUCACUCUUUGAUUAUCAAACAGAAACUUGAUAUAAGCCGUGUAAGAAACAACAGUGGGGUGACACCUCAUGGAUUUCAUUUGCUCCCACAUUUGCAAUAGAUAAGAUUUUAUUAUUUAUUGAAUGGGUCAGAUAGUUAGCCACAACAUUUUGUACACAUACAUUUUGUAAUACCCCAACUAUAUACUUUUGUAAUCUGUUGCAACACAACUUAUAUAAAAAAUCAAGUACAACAGCACCGCAUGCAUAGGUGCUACAAUCGGCAAAGUCUCGUAAAAACUAGAUAUAUCUCAACAAGACUUUUCGACUUGACUUGUCAACAAAUAGGAAAUCACCUAUAAAUCUUAAAAUCCAUGCUCGAGUAUACCUCCUCGUCAUUGCCUUCCAACUAAGCAAUGUCACCAAAAUGAUUUUGCUAACCAACUUAUUCUAACAAAACUUUCGUCUAUCUCCUUUUAUGCAGAUGUAACUCCAAAUAACUUUUCACAUUAAUCCGUCCAAUUUAAAUUUGUUGGUGUUAUAAGAGGUGAUCCAUCAACACGAAGCCUCAACAAAACUGCCCCGUCUUGUAGAGUAAUGAUCCAUAACACAUCAUUUUCAACAAGUCCCAAAUAAAUGCGGCUUAAAGUAGAAGCAUUUACAUUUGAUAUGUAUCUGGGUUGUAUGUAAAACUUAGUUUUCAACAUUUAGGUCACCAUCCAAAUCUCCUUUUUUUUUCUAGUAAUUUUUGUUAUUGCUGAACUAGACAUCAGAUUGACUCUUCUGCCUCAUAUAAUAACUAAUUUUACCACUCAGCAUAUUGCAUUUAUAAACUUAGACUUGGCUGCAAUUUGCGGAGUAAGAGCAUGGCUAUGGCUACGGCUAUGGUGGCAGAAAGAGAAAGAUCGAAGCCUCUCCACAAUUUCUCCAUGCCCUGCCUCAAAUGGGGCAACCAGAGAUUCCUGAGGUGCGUCAAAGACUCCACCAUGAUCGAUCUCAAACCCUGGACUUUGAGGACCAAAGCACCACAUCCACAUCACACCAACCAACUCCAGAAGAAGAUGGAAGAGAGAGCCAAGUUUUCGGUUUCACUCUCGAAGGAGCAGGUGGAACAGGAUUUCUGGGCCUUUCUCGGAACCAGACCUCCCAGGAGGCCCAAGAAGAGGCCCAGAAUUGUCCAGAAGAAUUUGGAUGUAUGUAAAUAGUCACACCAUCAAUUCAAUUCAUGCUUUCUUUCUCUUAAUUCAUUUCAUUUCAUUUUUUGCAGACACUUUUUCCUGGUUUGUGGCUCACCGAUGUUACUGCAGAAUCUUACAAAGUCCCUGAAUGAGGCGGGGCCAAUUGCCGAUGCUUGCUGACUCUUCUUACUUUCACCACCGUGUCAUAUAAAUAAAUAAUGGUAAUUGCCAAAUCAAAUCAACCAUCUAAAUAAAUCCAAAACUUGAUUCUUUUGUUGAAUUCUGCCGCUGGUUAUCUGAAAAUAUAGUAGCUUGUACAUUCUAUACGUUAACAAUAUUUUUACUGCUGCUUCCUUUUCGCUUCUGUGAAAGAUCUUUGUUUCACUUUUAUCAAUUUGCUAGAGUUCUAAUGUACUGGAUGCUGCAGUUUUAAUUGCUCAUUUUAUUUUAUUUUUUUUACCUUCAAUCCAAGAAAGAACGUAAUCUUGUCCCUUGUUAAUAUGGUAUUAUGACAUGAAGAAGAGUAAAAUCGGCAUAUUUAAAUUUGCACAGCUUGUACCAGUGACUUUAAUGUUUACAAAUAUGUGACCACUAAUGAAAUCUUCUACAUUUCUGUUAACAGAUAUUGGAUUUUAUGGUGAAAAAUGGUCAUUUUCAUCUAUUUUGUGAAAAAUAAGAGUAGAAAUAUAUGGUUUGUUUGGUUGACUUGCAAUAAAUGCCAAGUGAUAGAUAAAUAAUGAAUGCAUGAAAUUCUCCAUUUUGCUGCUAACAUCCUAUCCUACCCAAAUGGUUUAGUCAGAAAUACUAGUUUUAGACUAUAUUAAAGCCAAAUGCAUCUUCAGAAAAAAUAAAAUAAAUACUAAAAAGAAAAUAAAAUUGUUCAUUGCUUGGCUUUUCCAAUUAGGAAAGCUAGGGCCUAUUUGGGUAACCCUCUUUAGAAGCACUUUUAAGAUAAAUAAAUAAGAAGAAAAAUAAGACGGACUUCUUCAUAAACUAAAAUGAGUUCUUCAUUAGCUAAUUUGUAGAAACUCUCUCAUAUAGCUUCUCUAAAAGAUGAGAGGACAUCUACAAAUUAGCUAAUGAAUGGCUAUUUUAGUUUAUGGAGAAACUAAUUUUUUUUUUUUUUAUUUCCUUAUCCUAGAAGUGCUUUUAGAGAAACUUACCCAAACAGGUCCGUAGUCUGAGCCAUUGUUGAGGUGAAUUAAGGGAGUCUUUUCCAUUGGGCAAGACCAACUUCCCUAAAAAGGAACAGGUAAAAUUUGCAGACGCUGUUUAGCUCCAUUUGAGUUCAUUCAGAAUGUACAUGCUAUAAUUGUGUUUCCAUUCAAGAACUUCCCGCACUGAUGUAAAUCAGAAAAAAUUGCUAUAGAAAGCUUCUGUUAGUGGAGAAAGAAAAGUAAGAAAGCAUAUUUUACUUUUCUUCUAUUCUUGGCUCUGGACAUUUCUAAAUGUUGAUUACAUCUGUUACUGGAGAACAACUCAACAAAUAUGUGAAGCAAAAGUUUUCAUAAGUUACAUUGUAUGACUCUGAUGAAUAGUAGCAAAAGUUAAGGAUUCUCUCACCAUAAACAUGUUCAAUUCUCUGACCCUCAUCAACUCUGCUAGAAUUCCUCUGGUUCAUGUCAGCACAGGUGAAGCAAUUAUACAAAUUGCAGUUGCAAUGUUGCAUGUAUAUUAGGCAUGUGAUGAUUUUUGGAAUUCUGCUGUCAUUCGCAUGGGGAACACAUACGUAGAUAGUUACUGUGAUUAGCAAGUAUAGAGAGGCUUGGACAUUGAGGGUAAAAUAUGGAAGUAGCAAAUACAGAACCAAUUGCUGACUUAAGGUGUGCUUCUUAGUAAUGAAAAUGUAAAGAGUAAUUUGGAGUAAGUGAAAAAUGACAAUGCAAUGGCCUAGAUACAUCGAUAUGUCUCACUACUGUUUUCACUUUUAUUUGUUGGUUCAAGUACUGGCUAGUAAUUAGCUAUAUGUCUCACGUAACUCUUCUGCCCUAUAAGGUAUCAUCUGCACAGCUGCAUGGCAUUACCACUUGACAUAAUUCUUUUAACAUCAUUUUGAGUUUGCACUUUUACAGCAACAGGAACGGUUUUAUGUGCAGGAAUUGAACAAAGCCUGUGUAGUUUUUAUUAUUGUUUGGCUAUAAGCUAUGAAGUCCAAAAACAAAAAAUAUAAAGUAUUGGUAUAGUACACUUAUCCUAUACUAAUAUAGAUGCUCCUUAUUCUUAGAUAUGUAUUUAAGAAGCAUCUUUUAAAAAAAAAUUCAAGAUUUUAAUCAUCGAUAUGCUUGAGAUACAGUUCUAAUACUUUGAAUAGAAUUGAAAUUACAUAUUAUUUUAUUCAUUCAUUGACAUGUUCUAAUGCGAUUCUAAUAAAAAAAUACACAAUUAUACAAACACAAAAUUUAUUAUUAGAACAUGUAGAUGAAUAAAAUAUGGAUUAUGGUAGGAGUGUUCACAGGUCAGAUUUGACUAAAUCUGUUAUCUAACCAUAUUAAAAUUUUAUGGGUUGGAUUUGUGUAAUUUUUUUUUUUUUGCAAACACAAUCUAAUCCAAUCUAAUCAUAAACGAGUUGGAAUUAAUUGGGUCUUAAUAUUUAAAAAAAAUUAAAAAAAUUUAGAACAAUAAUGUAUCUUUGCCUAAAUUUUUUAAGUAUAUAAUAAUUAAAUGCAUUCAAAAGAAACCAAAUUAUGGAAAUGUUUUAAUAAUAGAAUUAAUGAUUUUAAUACUAAUAUAAUUUUUUUGGAUAGAAAUAAAGUAUGAUACUAGUAUGUGAAAAUAUAAAUAAAAUUAAGAAAAACAUAAAAGCAAAUUAAAAAAGAUGAAAAAGUUAUAGCAGGUUUAUUUUAAUAAUUUAAUAAAUUAUAUGAGCUAAAAAUUAUUAAUGUGUUUUAUAUUUAAUAAUUAAUUUAUAUAUAAUAAAUUAAAUCAUAUGGUAUGAAUUGUGUUAGGUUAAAAAAAUAAAACUUAUUCUUGAUUAGAUCUUGAUCAAGUUGGAUUGAAUUCAACUCAAAUACUUUAGAAGUUCAAUUUAUAUAAUUAAGUUGAGUUGAAUCACAAGUUGAUUUUAACUAUAAAUACUCUUAGAUUAAGAAAUAAUAUGUAAAUUGAAGGAAAAUAGAUGAAUAGGAAUGAUGUUUAACUGUUUGUUUUUCCUUUUGGUUUUGUAGUAAAUUAUAAUCACCCUUCGCUGAUAUAAUGAUGAGAAAAUAAAGAUAUUGUUCUUUUAGUAUAGUAAACAAAGAAUUCUUAGAAUAGUAAAAGUCUCCUAAAGUUAAAAAAGAAUUAUCUUCCCUUAGAUAUACGUUGAACGAUUUGAUUUAUCCCUGAACGAAAAGUGUUUAAAAAUAUUAACAAGAAUUUAGGAAGGGGAUUGUGCAAUAUAUUGAUUUCAAGGUUUUAGGAUUAUAAUUGGUGGAGAAAUUUAAUCUACAAGGACAAAGCAUAGUAUAGGUCACAAUCACGGGCAUUAAUGCAUGCGAAAAUAAAAUAGACAGUACCAUCCAAUUAAUUGUAGUUAUGUCCUUUCGAUGUCGUGAGUCUAUUUGCUGGAUUUUUCUUUUUUCUUUUUUUUCCAACGAGUCCAUUUCUUGGAUAAGAUGCCAUAAAAUCCUAAAUAGGCAUAAAUGAUUUCUUUCUUUUUAAUUGCCAGACUUUUAAAAAGUUUUUAUUUAUUUAUCUGUUAUUUAUAAAAUUCAAGAUGACAUUAAUUAUUCAUUUAUUAAUUAUACUUUUAUUUUACUCUUAAUAUUUAAUUAAUUUAACAUGUAUUUAUUGUGAAGUAAGAAGAAAAAGAGAUAAAAUAAAAAAUUUCACAUUUAUUUUAUUAAAAUCACAGUUAAAAAUGAACAAAGAUAGUAUAUCCACCACAAAAUCGAGGAAGGAUGGAGAAGCCCGCUGCAUAGCACAUGCCCUACAUGCAUAAUACUAGUACAAAGCAUUCUAUGGUCCCAAAGAAAAACACACACAAGGCGCACUUAAUUCUGAUAAAAAUUAAACACAUAAAUUUGUGAUCAGAAGACUAGUAAUUUCCAUUGAAGUCCAUCAUGGUUAUAAUUUAUAACCCCAAAAAGCUAAUCACGAGUUUAUUGAUUCAAGAUUUUUGGUCUUGUGUAGUGAAUUUUAGGACCAUUUGGGAUGCCAUUAUCUUAUCAACAUUGCAACUGAACUAAAUUUACUCCCAGGAUAACUCACGCAUUAAUUACUUAAUUUACUCAGGACCGCUGAUGUAAAACAAUAUUACUAAUUCAAAGUUAAAACUACUAGAAACAAUGGAUUGGUAGUGAUAGGAAUCCAAUUCUAAUGUGUUAGCUGUUUGGCAGCAUAUGAUUAACCAUAUUGCCAAGCAUGUCUAAUUGGAAUUUCACCAUUUAUGACACGAAUGCUGGUUGUCCAAUAAAUAACACAUACUAAUUUGGAGGAUUCAGUAUAUUUCCAGAUUAAAUGCAUAGUCUAAGCCGAUGCAUGCCACUAGAUAAAUCAAAGGAUGGCCCAUGAUUAGCUGAGUUAGUAGCUAACAAAGGCUCAGACAAACUAACUUUCCAAAAGUUAAAGUUUCAUCAAGAAUUUGUUUGUCCAUGAAACUGCCACCACUAGUUCUAGUUGUCAUAUGUUUUACAAUUAAAGACAAAAUGUUAGUUGUUGAACAAAAGAGUAUUUCUCAUAAAUAAACAAGUGCUAAUCUGAACAAGCACUAGCCACAAAAGCUUCCAUUCAUUGGAGGAUUCAUCACAGAAAACAAGAUGGGACAAAGCAUUAAAAAUGGACAGAUUCCCAUUGUUCUGGCCCCCAAGCUUGUACCUUAUUAACUGAAUGACCAUCAGAGAUUUUUUUAUCCCUCCAAAUCAUUAGCUUGGCAUAAACAUAAUCAACUUCAUUUAGUACCAUGCUAAUUACUUGUUUCUUUCUAGCAUGAUCGCUGAUCAGAAUAAACAAUGAUGAAUUUGAUAAGCCAACUAGCAAGAUUAACCACGAACUAACAUGAACAAAUCACUUCUUGCUUUUCUUGGCCUUCCCAACACGUAAAAAAGAACCCAACCCGAAGAGACUACCACUUCCUUUAGAAAUGCAGGGAGUUGGUAGGUUCAAAACAGGACUAAUCCAAAGACCAUUGGCAUAAGAUCCUCCAUAACUCUUACCUGAACGAGACCUUUGUAUAGGAUACAAAUUUAAGGUAGAAGAGCUUGAAGAUGAUAGUGGCUUAGCUGCUGAAUGCUGCCUGGUUGAACUCACUCUCUUUGGCUGUGGCACCGAACCAGUUGAGUUGCUCCUUGACAAAGGAGGUGAAUAACACAUCAAACUUUUCUUUGUAUCACAACUGAGACUUUUGCUUCUACUGAAACCCCAGAAAGAGGCGGAGUAAGCUUUCUUAUCUAGAACUUCUCUAGUGCUCUCUUUCUUUAUUUUGUCAACGCUAGACGGGGUACAUGGAAGUGGAGGAAGUCUCAUAUAUGGAGCUUCUCCACAAAGGGUGUGUUUCCUAGUAGUGUUUCGCUUUUUCUGCAUCUGAAUGGGAAGGAUUACCCCAUUAGAGAAAAGUUCAUCUGCAGAAGAUGAUUCAAACUCAAGGCUUCUUCUGCUAGUGCUGAACUCAAAGUCAUGAUUCGACUCAAGAAGCAUUGUGUCUUUGCGUGGAACAUCUUGCUGCUUUUGUAGCUCAGGGACAUCAUGGGAAAAAGAGAAACGAGGGGGAACUAUUUUAGAACACAUAGAUAACUACACAGUUCCCACCAGUUAGGAAAAUUGAAGAGGGAAGCAAAAACCAAGGUGGACUUCAAGGUAUGAUGAUGUGAGAAAGGAGAAAAAAAGCAAGGAAGAGAAUUCAAACGAGAAAAUCAAAACAAGGGAAGAGAGAUUUAUGGGUUGAAAAUAAUCAAAAUAUGGGGUUGCUUUUGAUUUACAAGUCAGAAAUACACGGAAACAAAAGACAUCCAGAUACAGUGUACAAAAGGAAGAGCGUGUGUAACCAUUUUAUUUUCAAAGGAUAGAGAUAUUCUGUGAAAAUUGGAAGAUCAAAGGAGAUUCAAUGUUCUUCUCUGAAUAGGAGGCACAAGGGAUAUUUUGUCUAUUAUUGUUGGAUAAUAGAAACAAAAGAGGAAGACAGAGAAUAUGACUUAAAAAAAGAGAAAAUGUAAUGUGUGACAAUUUGGAAAUUGUAAAAAAAGGAUGUGAACUGCAAAGUCAGUGAAGGUUAAAGGUAUGUGACUGAAAUCACGAUCUAAUUCUGCUGAAUUGAAGGAAUAAUGUUUGGGGUCUUGGUCUGUAAAAUAGCCACCCAACAAAACUUGUUGCAUAAGAUGUGUAAAUUUUUUUUUUUGUAAUAUAUUAUUAAUAUGAAGUAUUUAUUGAUUUUAUUAAUAAUUAAUUUUUAUCAAAAAAAUCUAAUUGAUCAUCUUUAAUGAAAUUCUUUUCAUUUAAUUAUAUUUUUUUAUCUAUACUUAAACUGGAAACUAGUUAAGAUGUGUAGAGUUUAAAUGUUUUUAUCUCAAUUGAUGAAAUAGUAUAUUCUUUUGCACAGUCAUUUAUAUAAUUUUAAGGUGGAGGAAUAUUAAUAGUCUCUUUUCUAACAUAAAGCGUAAACAAUCACAAUUUAUUAUACAAUUAAAAAAAUCAUUUAGAUGGUGAAGCACUGUCAAAUAAAUAUUUAUGAAUUAGGUUAGCUCUAGGUGUGUGCAAUUAUCUCUUGUUCCUUGUAUUUGAGGAUGAUUUCUUAUAACAUAUUUAAUACUAGUUUGAAUAAUCAUAUAACACGUGGGAUGGACCAAACUGCAAUCUUUCUGGGUUAAUCACCCCCAUGAUUAGAAUUAUACUAAAUACGUUUUCUUAAUUUUUUUCCUAAAAAAUAAAAAAGAAUCUUCACCGAUUAACAAAAUCCUGGUUGUGAUCACUAUUUAUUGAAGCAUAGUCAAAUUAGAGAGUUUCUAUAGACAGAAAAAUUUUAAAAAGGGAAAAAGAAGUUUCGCUACUUCAAUAUCUUUGAAAUAUGAUAGUUAAAUCUUUCUAUAAUUGCGUUAUUAAAAAAUGGAGCUGAUGAAAUGAAAGAACGUUCUACCGGCUAACUAAAUUUAUUGAAGGACUCGAGGAUUAGGGUGCAAAUUUUUUACAAUUAAACCACUACUCUGCCUUCAUUAAUUUUUUAGUUUCUGUUUACAAAAGUUCAACCACCACUCUGCCUUCAUUAAUUUUUAUAAAUUCUGUUUAUAAAAGUUCAACAACUUGAUUAAGUUAGAAAGGACCAACUCCUUUAAACCAAAGCUGUUAGAUGCUUAUGCAACAUCGUGUUAAGACCGUAAAAAAACAUCGUGUUAAUCUAAUAAAACUUGCAACCGCAAGAGUUAUUUAUAUUUCUCUAAUAAUUACAGCGUAUUUUCCAAUGAUAAAAACCUUCCAAAAUUAUCAUGCCCUUCCUAUAUUCUAAAGAAGUCGUCACGUAUUAUAAUUUGACGCGAAAACGGCAUUAUCCAAACAUAUGCUAUAACUUGGUCAAAUUAAUGGAUGAUACUGACUUAAUAAUUCUUUACCGUGAACAUUGCUAGUAUUAUAUGACACAAGUCUAUUAUGAAUUGUCAAAGUUGGAAAUAUUGAAACCUUCAUUCUAAUGUAAGGGUGAAUUGAGGUUAACGUAUUAGUUGUAUUUUCUUAUCUAAUUAGAAUUGAAGUUUUGCUUCAAUAAUCUACAUAAUAAAAAUUUACAUUAAAUGUCAAUAUUAAUAAGAGGAAACUUCACUUCUAGUCAGAGAAUAAUACAAAAAAUCACUACAUCUAAAUCUUGUCUUGCAAGCAUUAGGUUGGGAAGAAGAGAUCAAAGUUCAAAGUAUAGGAUUGGUACCUUGAUGAGCAAAUUCUUGCAUGACAGAUAACUAAUAUUGGUUUUUUUCACCAAGACAGAAAACCCCUUUUUGACAAGCUGCCAUGUGAGCAAUCUCUCGAUGAGUAAAACCCAGAGGCUUGAUGAUGAUGACAAAAUAGUCCUUAUUUCCGAUGCCCACAGCAUGGGAACCCACUCACCAACUGUUUGAAGGACCCCACAAAGCAUCCAUCAACCAAAAAUAUUGUCCUUAACAGGAACCAUUAUUUGGGGCAAGAAAAGAUGUAACCAAAAUCAUAAUCUGUUCGAGAAAUGUUGUACACUUCGUUGAGUGUGACCAAUCUUCAUUUUAUUAAUAAAUGAUGUAGAGACUUGGACGUGAUUGCUUUAGUGGAUCCAAAGAGAAAGUAAAAUGUCAUCACUCUAGCAAAUAUAUCACUCGCAUAGAGUCAUCCAAUUAUAAAGGUGGUGAUGGUGCCCGUAUAAUUCCCUCGUUCAUGUGUGAAGAAAUGGAAAAAAAAAAAAACUCAUGUUCUGGUGCUUGAAUUUGUAAGUGAGUUAUCAGGAAGUCAGUUUUUUUAUCAUUAUUAAUGUGAAGUAUUUAUUAAUUUUAUUAAUAAUCAAUCUUUAUUAAAAAAAUUGACUCAUCUUUUAAUUAUUUUUUCAUCCAUAAAAUUUAAAUUAAAAAUCUUAUUUAAAGAAUUAAGUCCAUUCAGAUCAACAACUUAUUUGUAAAGUCAUUUAUUUUAAUCGGUUUUCUUUCAUGCAACAUAGUAAAAAAGAAAUAAAUAAAUUAUCUAAAUAAAUUACUUUUACAAAAUUAAGACAAAAAUUUUGUAAUAUAAAAUUUAAAGUAAUAGACUUUUAUAAUAUCAAAAUUAAAAUAAAGAAUUUAGCUAUAGACCGAAAGUUUGAAAUUCUUUAAACUCUAGUUCUUGCAUAUGAAAUUGAAUACAACUGUGAUUCUUUUAUGCAUAGUUCAUUCAAAAAUGAAAGAAAAUCUGUGACAAUGAGAUUUAGAUUUUUUUUCUCUUCUUCAAGUCAUCACGUAUUCACGUUACUUCAUCUAACCUUAUUUUCUUUAUUUUUUUAAAUGAGAGUCUUCGAUAAAUAUGUUUCAAGUUAAGAGACUUUUUUCUGUUUUAGAUUGAAACACAAUUCCCUCCUAUGAAAUUUUCAAAAACAAAAUAAAAUUUCUCCACCACAAGCGAAACAGUAGAAGCACACCUAAAUAAGCAAUUUUUAAGAUCUUCAUAAUAAUAAAUACAUUUCAUUCAAAUUUCUAGACAAUUUUAAACAUUAGUACAGACUAGUCUUUUCAGGUUAAUCUAGUUGACAAAUCUCACGCUAGUUCUUAAUUUGAAAGUAGCUUCACCUACUUCCAUGGAAGUGACCGAUUUUGUCGCUUCCAUCAGUAAUUAUUAUCAAACAUCUUUAUCCAUGUUUUAUUAUUGUAUUCAUUCAUUUUAAGAGGAUGACUUUUUCAAAAAUGAACCAAGGAUUGGCAAACAGUCCAACAUCACGUAUUGAUUUUUAUUUUAUUUUUAAAAAUUCUAAUUAUUAAGAAUCAACUUAAUGUCACUUAAAAAAAUUGAGAAAAUGCUUAAAUGCUCAUUUGUAAACUUCUAUUAUGAAGCCUCAGCAUUUCUCGGGAGAUCAUGAAAGAGCAGCAUAUUAAACAUUGUCAACUGAUUAUGAUUUGCUACCAACAAAGAAAAUAUUUAGUUGUUAUCAAUUGUUAGUGAUAGAAUCUCCCAGUAAGUGUAUGAUCGCAUUAAGUAAAAACAGAAUAAAUUACAAUCAAAUUAAUAUCAUUUAAACUAAUCAAGAACAAUCGGAACAGUUAUGAAUUAAAAAAUUUCUUGGCGGGUGCUACCCCCCAAUUCAACACAAAAAGGCGCAAAUCUCUUUCCUCUUCGCUAUUGAGUUCGCAUUCAAUUUAUGUUAUUCAAACACCAGCAUGAAGCUUCUAAAACUCUAUAAUGUCAAAGUAUGCAAAUUAAUUCCUAAAAACUAAUUAAGAAACUUCGACUUUUCUACAUUUCCUCUCUCAAAAGAUCAACAAAUCUGUAGUUGUUUUUAGAUUUAUCACAUCUCUAAAACUUGAAAUUUCGCUUGUCUGAAUACAUAGCUCUUGAUCUUUUUUGUUCAAUUAUCCAUGGAAUUAGUCUGAAAAUAAUACCAGGAUGGUUAUUUUAUUUAGUCUUUUUUAAUUUAUUUUAAAUGAAUAGUAUUUGACUUUUUGUGAAUAAAAAAUAGCAGUCCAAAAGCUGAAGCUCUAUAUUUGAUUCACCCCAUAGAUUGGAGCUACUAGGUACUUUGAAUUGAUGGCAAUAUAAUACAGAAUGAAAAGAAACAAUCAUAGAUAUCUGCACAGGAUUGGACCAAACCUGGUGAAUGACCAUGCGUGGGUGAAUAGUUCCGAUCUUUUUACAAACACAGCCAGACAAGACAUGCAUUAUGAUGUCCACGGUUGCUUCAAUGGUAAUAUGAACAAUUAUAUAUGGCUAGAUCAAGAAACAACAAACUCCUUCUCCUUCUCAUCGAAGAUCAAUGACAUCAAAUUUUAAAUCUGGGUUCAUGUAAACAUCUGUACAUGUAUCGUAAAUGGGACCGCCAUCUGGAGGUUGAUUAUGUGGAUGAAAGCCACGCUGCUGGCAUUGUCUAAUGACCGACAUUCCACCAGGGGUUGUCAACCGAAAAAUGCCAUGGUUUCUGUUACAUGUAACCGAAAUUCAGUACGCAAAUCUCAAAAGAUUCCAGCUAUUUUCCUUAGUGUUAGUGGGGCAAGAAUAGUAAACAAGCUGACGUAGGAGAAGCACAACCAAGAGUGAAGCCAUUAUAUUAAUGUUUUAUUUUUAUCUUUUUAUAUAUUUUUCUUAGCAGCUAAAAUGAAGAAAGGAUUUAUGAUCACAAAAUACCUAUUAUUACCUACCAAGCUCAGGCAAAUUUUAUUUUACUGUUACAUCAUAUCUGCCUGUACUCUAUAAUACUAGAUGUUGGGCAUUAAAAAUGUGAGAGCGGUAGAAAUGAAAAUGCUAAAAUAGAUGUGUGGUAAAAAAAAUGGGUUAAGGUAUUUUAGACAUGUUCAAAGGAAGUCCCAGGAAGCACCAGUGAAAAGAGUAAACUGCAUGGUUUUUAGUCCUAUGAAGAGAAGGAGACCAAAAAAAGAAAUUGGAGGAAGCUGUCAAAAGGAAUCUCAUGCUAAAUAACAUCUUGAAACUUUGAUCAUUAACUAGGCUGAAUGACAUUGUAUGAUCUAUGUAAUGGACCUUAUCUAGUUAAAUAAGACUUCGCAAAUGAGUGACACCUAUAGGGGCAAGUGAUUAGUUUAACCUAUUGAAAAAAUUUAGAAUUAUCAUAGAAUUAUAGUUCUACAAAUAUUCCUAUAUGAGAUUACUGAUCACUUACCAAUGAGGGAUCCUAGGAUUUCAAGCCAAGUCAUGCAGUUCUAGUGAAUAAAAUAACGUUCUAGUACAAAUAGCCUUUACUCUAACUGUCUAAGGCAGUCAAAUGGUUGAUAAUUAUAUCAAAUUUAGUCUCACCAAAAACUUAAUUUUUUAUGGAUAUGCUUUCUUUGCCAUUAUCCCACAUCAAGACAGACACAUCUUGCUUGAGACACAUGUUACCUUGAACUGUCGGUUGGUGCCAUAACUAUUGCAACAGCUUCUGGCAGCAUAAUCUAUGGAGACAAGAUUUGUGUAAGAUACAAAAAAAAAUAUAAAGAAAAUACCAGAACAAUAAAAUGUACUUAGCUUGAUUAGUAAUUGAAAGCAUAACAAAUGUAUGAGAGAGAGAGACAGGCCUCUAGGGUACUACAAAUAAUUCCCAUCUUUAACAAAAAAGAUAGAAGAAUAAAUUUUAGCAAAAUCACUAACAUAUAAAACAUUUCCAUGAGAAGAUCUUCUUUCUUUUCCUACCAUUUCCUCAUCACAAAUAGCAAAAAUAUAUCUCAAAGACUAUGGCAAACAAAAUAACAAUCUCAACUAAAAUUUAAGAAACCUCUCUUGAACUUACCUGAUAAGAGUAAUGGGUGUGUACAUCAAUUGAUGACAUGAAACAAGAUUGUGUAGGAUGUGUCUGGCAAUGCAGAACUAUAUAUAUCAGUGUUGCAACAUGGGAAGACUAGCAAAUUAAGAAUAAGAAAUUUGGAUAUAAUACAAAUGAAACUGAGGAAUAUUAACAACAUUCUCGUUUCAACAAACUUUAUGGGGCGCACAUUAUAACAGUAGAGUUCACAUGGAAUUUCACCCAAUAAAGAAUAGAGCAUUAAGAGUGUCCAAACAUUUUUCAAUGAGACUAUAGACUAUAAGUAACACAAGAAAAAAAUUUCAUUCUGCAUUAAAUUAUAUAUUUCUUUGGAAGUUAGGAAAUAUAAAGGGAAAAAAAUCAAAACACCAAUCUGUUAACUCCAAUUACAAAUGUGGCACAAAAAGUGAUAAAGGCUCAAUAAGUUCAAGAGCAAUUUAUAACCAGUGUCCACAUGCAGAAAACUGAACUCACGUGGAUCCACCCAAGGGGGAAAAGAGACUGCUUAUCCUGUACUUCAAAUAUCUCCUCUUCAUUUGUAGCUUGACACUGCUCAAGAAGUACAAUAAAUGUAACAAAUUUAGAAUAAAUAAUUGUAAAAUAUAUUACUCAAAAGGAUUACGAUGAAUUAUUUCUUACAGAACUGGAUGUUGCCUCCUGCUUUGGGAUUAUUAGAGUGGUAAUAUAAAAUUUUCUGUUUUUCUGCAGAUCAGUUGCAUUAACAAAAUAGCAAUCAAUAUCUCAUGGUUUAAGCUAACAGAUACAUCUAAAUUUAAAACCAACCACAGUGAAAAAUUUAGAACCCAAUGUAUAAAAAUGUUGUGCAUAGCAAGCAUGCCCAAACACACGACUAAAAGACAGUCCACAAAUUAUUGCUAUGGACAUAACAUGAAAUUAUAACGCAAGUUUAAAUUUCUUUUUAGCUGCUGGGAAUCCAGCAAUAGGUUAACUUUGUUUCUAAGAUAGUAAAUGCACAACCUUUAAUACAAGAGGAAAAAAACAUGAGGCUAAUGCAUAUAUAUCUUGGGGUCCCAAGCUCAUCUAGGAUCUACCUUGCUCGUUGCUUCAAGACCAAAAAUAAAAUGUGAAAAUCACUUACAAGCAAACCAGCAAGGAUUCCACAAGUCUCUAAAUUUUUGUCAGUGUUUGACUUGGCAAGCUUCAUAAAACUCUCCAUCAUAGAAGUUGACUGCACAUUAAACAAUUAUCAGGAAAAUAGGGAAUACUGAAAUGAACCUAAAAAUGAGUGUUGAGAACGAGAGAAAAUGGCAAGUGAUGAAUUCUGUGUAAAAUUACACCCCAGAGCAUAUAUUUAUAUUAAGGGCCAUAAAUACAAGAAUAUGUAGUUUCCCUUAACAUUAUUGCAUAACAAAUAAUCUGUCCUAUUUACAUUGUUAUUAUAAUUACAUUAUUUCUAAUACUCCACCUUAAGCUGAAGCAUAUAAUCAUACGCACCAAGCUUGCUACAUAUAUAACUGACUUGAGUACCUCUCAAUGAUUUGGUGAAAACAUUCACCAGAUGAUCAUUUGAAUUGUCAAAGCUAGUGGUGAUUCACCCAACAAAAUUUUCUCUUUAAUAAAAUGACAUCUCUUAUGAAGUAAUAUUACAUAGUUAGGUAUUUUGUUGUCAAGAAUAGAGGACAAUAUCCAAUUAGUGAGGUUAUUAGCUCUUACUAUGUGUAGUUGCAGCGGAGACUCAGCACGAACAAUACUAUCCGACAUUGGAAUCUCUGUCUUACAUCCUUCCUCAAUAACAUGAGGUAACAUUGCAGGAACCAAAUCUUGUACUUCAGCAAGUACAGGUGGAGGAGAAGGCUGUCUGGUAACUUCUAUUUGAGCAGGAAUUUCUGUUGCUUCAAAAGAGAUAAGCGAAGGAGCUUCAUCAGCAUGCUUUGCCUUGCAGUCAUCACUCUGGGUAAGAAUUGAUUCUAAAUCUGAUUUAUGUUGUUCUGAAAUGCUAUUAUCUUUUUUAGUCAGAGAUCCAUCUACCAAGGGUUGUUGAAGGCUGUUUGUUCAGACAGGGAAUCCAACAGAAUAGAUUUAGUUAAUAUAAAAAGUAAAUAGAUAAACCAGCUCAAGGUGCAUCAAGGAAAAUAACAUUUCUUUUUUGAUCCAAGAAGGGAGGGGAAGGGGAUAAGGGAAUAAGAAAAGGGUGGAUGUCAAAUAGCUUAACCAACUUAACUAACUUGAGGGCCAUAAAGGGUGAUACCUUGACAAGCCUCAGAUAUACAUCAAAUGAAACCCCUUUUUUAAAUAAAUUAUUUAAAUAAAGUACCAUUAUUUAGAAAAGGCAACAAAAAACAUAAAAAAGAAACAACAGAAACUUAUAAUAGGCCAUAACCUUGGAAUUUCAACUGGAGACAGAUCUAUGAUGGUUGGAUACCUGACCUACAUCCAGAUAGAACGUUCAAGAUGGUUUUUGAACAGAAUUAAAAGACAGCAAAAUACCAAGCAUACCCCUUUAUCACUUGCAGGUGGUCGCCACUGCCCUUUCAGCCCAUUGGGACCUAGAAUUGAAUGUCUGGAGAGAGUUUCCUCCUUUGGGCGUAGGAGACUUAGAGAUCUACAGAAAGCAAGCAUAAUUUUAAGAAUUAUCAAACAAAAAAGUCCAUCUAACACUAUCAACUUUCAUAUGCAGAAUUCUAGUAUGACAAUCAAAGUAACCAAACAGAAUAAGAAAACCUUCGCAUAACUUAAUCCUGCAGAGAAAGCAAGUACAAUAAUACAUGAAGGAAAAGUCCAUAUGUAAAAUACUUACAGUCUCCUCAUAUUCUCUUCCACAGGCCUUACACUAGAAAACUGUUGGCCCCUUGAUCCUUGGUAAACAAACUCUCCAGUGGUUGGUAUGACUGCCUGGUCACAUAUAUAAUAGCAUAUUGAUACAAAACUUCUUUGAAAGGGGAGUUAGGGAGCAUAGAAAUAGCCAAAAAGCUUUCAACCAAAAGUACAUAUAUAAUUAUAAGGAAUGAUUAUUAUUGAUGAGCUACAACCUUCAAUGCAAAUUCUCAGGCAAUUUUUACCUUUUUUUUAUUAUAACUAGUCAAAGUUUGCUUUUUUGCUGGAGAAAAAUCCAUAAAAUUAUUUGAAUGACAUUUCUCCCACCCAUUGGGUUGAUAUGCUCGCCUGCUGUUAAACUCAUUGAUCUUCUGUUGCACUUUCGGUUUCAAUUUCUCUAGCUCAUUCAUAGAAUGUAACAAUUUCUGUAGCAAGAACCUUAAAAUCAGUUUACAUUUAAGAAUGUGCAACAAGUUAUCAUCCAAAGAAGAGAUGAAAACUAACCUUUCUCAAAGCUUCUUUCUUGCCUUGAGGAGAUGAUCUAUAAUCUCGGUGACGAGGUAUUGUCUCAGAGACCAAACUAACAUCAACGAAGGGGAAAGACCCUCAAUUCAGUUUGAUGGCAAAAAUAAGAAAUAGAAUAUAAUAUUGACCACGUAUUUUAAACCAUUCAGCUGAAGACAGUACACACCAUUUAUGAGAAAAAAAUCCAAGGACCAUCUAGUAUUACCUGGAAAAUCUUAGGAGCAUGAUAUACAGAUCAACUAUAUUUGUCUCUGCACGAAAGAUAUCAGCCUGCAAUACCAAAACCAAUAUUUGGGGCUGAAAGGUCACGCAAAGCAAACAUUGAAAAAUUUAUCUUGAAAAGAAAACAUUACCCCAUUAAAAAGAUAUUAAAGCUGGAUAAUAAAUUCAGGAGCAGAGAAUAAAAUAUGAAAUGCCAGUACAAGCAAUUAGCAGUACUGAAGUAUUACUUACACAAUGCUGCAAAACAUAACAUGACAUGACUGUAAGGAAAAACCAAACAUAAGAAUAGCAUGAAAGUUGGAUAGUGAAAUCCAUGCAUGCAAUAAUUUCAUACUAGUCACAAAUACUACUAUUUAACCGGUGAAAAUUGUAAUAUCGCAGCGAACCCUAUCUAUGUUUGCCCCCAUCCUCUUCCUAUAUAUGCUUACAAAAAGCAAAUGAAAUGUUACAAAAUCUAAAAACUGGUUGGUGCAAAGGAGAAAGACCUGUUUGAGGAUAUUAUCGGCAAUUCUGUAGUAGAAGCGAAGAGCAAUUCGAUUAUCAACAUCAAGUUUCUGUGUACUCGCAGCGAUGUUGAUCGUCUCCGAAGAACACAUGAUGUUUCUUUCUUUCUUCCCCGGAAUACGAAUAUGCUAUGCGUUUCCCUGUGGACGCAGCUCCUCUCGCAGUUCAGCUUAGCCGAGUCGUCGUUAAUGGCGACUUAGGCACAGAUCAGAUCAUGUCAUUUUGGUUUCUCCCAAGGGUAAAAUUGGUAAUUCAUGGUUGUCUUUUUUCGUCAGUUUUGUUAGACAAGGUUGUUAUUACAUCACCCAUGUUUUUAAUGCGAGGUACGGGAUGCUUUUUCACUUCUAAUGUAUCAUGUCGUGUACUGCAUUAAGUCAUUAAGUGGAGGGCUAAUUGACCUAAUGUGGUUUUUUUUAUAAAUAAUUUCUUAAAAUGGAUUUGUUUUGAAAUAAUUAUCGGAGAAGAUCUCUUUUUAAACAUGUUUCGCCAUGUAUGUUGGCAACACAGGUGACGUGGAACAUGUUUUGUCAUUGACAGUGAAAAAACAUGUGAAAUAAGGGUUUGGACAUUUGUAAUUGAUUAUAGUUAAAUUAGGGAUGAUUAGUUUUAACUAAAAAAAAUUAAAUACAAGUAUAAUUUAUGUAAUUAAAUUAGAGAUGAUUGAUUUUAAUGAAAAAAAAUAGAUGAAAAAAAUUAAAACUGAUUGUAAUUUAUUGUAGUUAAAUUAGAAAUGAUCGUUUUUUACAGAAAAAAAUUAGGCAUGAUUGAUUUUAGUGGAAAAAAAUUAAACAGACAAAAUUAAAUAUGAUUAUAAUUGAUUGUAGUUAAAUUAGGAAUGGUUAAUUUUAACGGAAAAAAAUUAGAAAAAACUUCAGCUAAGCAUAAGAUCGGUUAUUUAUAUGUGAACAUAGUCUCCUAUUCUGCAGAUUCAUUGCUGUUGCAAUGCCUGAAUCUGAACGGUUGAUUUUGUGCAUUUAUUUAUUUGAAGUUCGCUUGAAUUUCAUUCAUCUAUAGGAUGGAUUUUGUUAUCGUAUCAAAACUCUCGAUGUGUUAGUGUUCUUACAAAUGUGGACUAUGCUAUCUAGUAUCUACUGUUAAGCAUUACUUUUUCAUCUGUGUAUAUUGAUUAGGAAGUAAUCAAUUACUGAGAUUUUACUUAGUUAGUUAGGCACAUAACACUAAUAUAAACAAGAGUAUGCUGUAAUCAUUCAUCAUCUUUUAUCAUUUCAAUCAAUUCAAUGGGUUACUUCUUUUUGUUUUGUAAUUCCUGAUAUCUAUGAUUUCCUUGUAAAUCUUUUUGUUUUGUAAUUCCUGCAUUCCUUGCAGCUAUGGAGAACAGUGUUACUCAGACCCUUUAGGAUAUGUUUGUAUUUACGUUACAUUUACGUUGAACAUAAAAUCUUGAAUUUGCUUCAGUCACGUUUGCAGCCUAGGAAAGUGGGAAAUUGCUUUGGAAAGUGUGAAACGGGAUUUCUAAUUGAUUCCCAAACACACACUUAAGCUUGUUACCGUAUUUCUUCAAGAGCCAAGCCAUGCAAUUGCUUGUGAACUUACUUGCGGUCAUGUAAGGAGCUUAACAUUUGUGCUUUUGUUUAUUCUAUUAAUAUUUGCGGAUGCUGAUAAAGUUUUGGAAGAAAACAUAUGUAACUUCUGUUUUAGUUUUUAAUUGAUUUACCAGAUUAUGAUUAUAUAUUUUGAUCAAUCUGUCACAAAUAUCUCUCGUGUGUUUUUCAUAUUUUUAUUUUUCUUUGCCAGAUAUUACCAUAUUUUUUGACAGUUUACAGUGAAUCUCUAGUGAACUUGUGCUUGUUAAUUUAGCUAGAAUUAUGCCAUAAAAUUCUUUAUAUGAAUAUUUAACAUAACUAUAUAUUCAACAUUUUUAAAUAAAAUUACAAAAAAUAUUUAAAAUUUAACAUAACUUAAAUCUUUUUAAAAAAAUUUAAGCAUCGAUUUUUUAAACAAUUUUCUAUGUUUUAAAAAUAUAAUAAGAAAUAAUUGUGUGACUAUAAUAUAAUAUAUUUUCUCUAUUUAAAUACUCCUAUUUUUUCUGCAUUUUUGAAAAUUUUAAAAGUUAAUUAUGUUUUCUUAAAAUACAAUUCUUUUUCUGAGACUUCACAUUUUUUUGUUGUAAUGGGUUGAGGUUUAAUGUUGCGGAUCAUUGUAUUUUAUGGCUUAUUUAAUUUAAUGACAUCUAAAAUUAGUUUUAAAUUUAAAAUUAGAUAAUAAAAAAGUUUACAAAAUAUAUUGUUUUAAAGUAGUCAACAAACAUGAAUGGGAAUCCCAAAAGGAGACAAUGAUGAAUAUAAAAUUUUAUUCCAGCAGACAUCAAGGAUGGAGAGGAGAAAAGGGAUGAGGAUGGAACGAGGACAAGGAAGAACAUAUUGGUCUUCAUUUUGUCGUUUUGUCAUAUUUAUUUACAAUCAUCAUUUGUAUAUGUUUUUUUAUUUUAAAUCAUUACAUGUUCAAAUAAGAUUAAAUACCUUUUAGUCUUUUAAUUAUUUUAUUUUUUAUUUUAAUUUUUUUUCUAAUUUAAAACAUGUGAAAACAACUUAAUCACCCACGUGGAAGCAUGAGUAUUGUCCUUGCAUAUGAGAAAUAUUACCAUUGGAAAUAAAUGGUUAUGAAAAUUAUGUUGGAUGAGUUUGUUUAAAUAUUUAUUAAAAUAAGUAUUUUUUUUGUUUUUUAAUGUAUUUGUUUAAACUAUUUCUACUUUAAAAAAAAACAAUUUUUUGUUUAUUUCAAAAAGCGAAUCCUAUAUCCUUAUGAAAUAAUCAAUUAUUUUAUAAACACUUAUUUCAAUUGUUAACAAGUUGACCCAUUAUUUAUUCGUGAAUGAAUGCAAAUCAACAAUAGUACAAGAGAAUGACAGAACUUUUUUAACAACAUUUGUGUAUGUCUGGGAUUACUUAAGGAAAAUUGUUAACCAAAUUUCCUUUUUGUGCAUUAAUAUUUGAGCAGCACUUGUAUUAUUUUUUCCACAUCUGGAAAAGAUUAACAGAAUAAGCUUAAUAGUUAACACCGUCAGUAUCGUUUCCUUUCAUCGUCUGACGAACCCGAGACGAUGCAUAACUAAAUUCGGUCACAUUCCUGGAUUCAGAGAUGCAGUCACAAUCGUGCUGCAUCUUUCCAAAUGUAUGAAAAUCACGGUUUUUCUUUUUACUUUUAACAAUACCCCCUUAACUAAUUUUACUAUUCCAUUGAAUAAUAAUAACAUAGCAAACAGGUUGAAUUCUUGAAGAUGGUUACAGGGAAUAGUCGGCCUUAAGACUCUCAACCAAAAUUUCUCAAUACAACAUUUAAAAAAGUUGUACAAAGGCGUUAGAUAAAAAUUAAAUCCUUAAGGACAUCUACCAUACUUUAAAUUUUCAGAUGUGAAAAUUUAAUCACAAUAUCAGCUGAACUAGGAUAUGAACAAAAGUCCAAGCAUCAACGCAGUCCAACUGAUAAACAAAAUGGGCAAUAUAGACUUUUACUGCUACAGUUGAUUGUGACAUUUGUCUUGGUUACAUGGAAUAGUCAUUGUAUUAUUAUAUUACUACUAAUUGAUAUUAUUAACAUCAUGAUGGGAUCAUAAUAAAAUUAAAGAUAAAAAUUACUGCUAUCUUCCUAACUUGAGCAAAGCAACGUUUGAGAGUGUUAUAAAAUUCAAUUUUGAUACAAAUCGAGCCUCAUUUAGCCGCCACCAUCUCCAUUGGGAAGAUUGAAUUUCACAAACCAAUCAUAUCUUUGAUCACCGCAUUGUCAUUUUGCAGAUCCCAAGAAGAAGCAUAACAAUCAACUUCAUUCAUUCUAAUCUUGCAUUUUUACUUGAUGAAACCAAACUGGGAACUCAAAAACUGCUGCAACCACGACCAGGUGGUGUUUCUGGUCACUGUUGCUGUCUGCACUGUCGUUAUACUUGCAGUAUGUAAUGUACCUCUCUGCUCUCCCACUCCUUUUUCUUUUUCUUUUGCAUUGGAUCCAAGAAAGGAACUUUAUUUCUUCUGGGUAUGAUCUUUGUGGCAUUGUGCUAUUUAAAAAAAAAAAUGGCAUUUUGCAAAUGGGUAUAUAUUAGUGCUACCUUGCUAAGUUUAAAUAGGUAUUUUCAAAGUCAACGAAACAAAUUUGCCAAUAGUUUUCUUUUUCCCUACUUUCCUAAAUUGCUUCAGCUAAGCAUAAGAUCGGUUAUGAACAUGGUCUCCUAAUCUGCAGAUUCAUUGCUGUUGCAAUGCCAGAAUCUGAACGGUUAGUUUUGUGCAUUUUUUUAUUUGAAGUUCGCUUGAAUUUCAUCCAUCUAUAGGAUGGAUUUUGUAAUCGUAUCAAAACAAGAGUAUGCUGUAAUCAUUCAUCAUCUUUUAUCAUUUCAAUCAAUUCAAUGAGUUACUUCUUAUGAAACUCCUCUCCUAUUCUUUGAGCUUUACAGUGAAUAGCCGCAUCAACUUUGUGUGAUUUGCAUCUCUUCUCAACUUUCUGAUAUCUAUGAUUUCCUUGUAAAUAUUUUUGUUUAAUUUGUAAUUCCUGCAUUUCUUGCAGCUACGGAGAACAGUUUUACUCAGACCCUUUAAGCUUGUUACCGUAUUUCUUCAUGAGGCAAGCCAUGCAAUUGCUUGUAAACUUACUUGCGGUCAUGUAAGAGCUUAAUAUUCGUGCUUUUGUUUAUUCGAUUAAUAUUUCAGAUGUUGAUAACAGUUUUGGAAGAAAACAUAACUUCUGCUUUAGUUUUUAAUUGAUUUACCAGAUUAUAUAUUUUGAUCAAUCUGUCACAAAUAUCUCUCUUGUGCGUUUUUCAUAUUUUUAUUUUUCUUUGCUAGAUGUUACCAUAUUUGUCAUAUAUUGACAGUUGACAGUGAUCUCUAGUGAACUUGUGUUUAUUAACUUACCUCUCUCGCUUGAUUUUGAAAUUGGUUUAGUAGAUCAUAAAACAAAAAAGGGAUGGGUUAUCUUCAAAUGCAUACAAUCGAUCAAGUAAUUUGCCUUUUUUAAGACUCAUGACCAUGCAUUAGCGGUUGACUGGUUGUUGUUAUUCCUGCAGUUCACUGUACAAUUUUUAUUUUCACUUUUUUUUUUCAUUUAUGCCUAUGGUUGAGUUCUUUGUUUUUUAUCAAUUGAAGAUGUCAACAUAUGAGUAGAAGAGAAAAAUAUUGUAGUUAAACUAAUUAAUUAGACAGACAGACAAGAAGAGCUUAAAAAUUAAGGUAGAAUUAGAUUUAGAAAAAAAAAAUGUGGGCGCAUCUAACUCCCCAUGAGGUAGAAGUGUCCAUGUUCCAAGGUUCAACAUCUCUUUCUAUUUUCCUUAUUUGCUAAUCAAAGGAAUGUACCAUCUACUUUGUGAUAAUUUAGACUCAUCUGUAGUGUUAAGUGUUGUUGGGGUAUCUAAAAUACUAAUUAUGGAUCUUCUACGGCUAUGUAAUACUCUUUUGCUUCUAAACAUAAAAAAAAAGUAUCUAUCUUUCGGUAAAGAAUAACUGAGCAACCUUGACCUGUAAUUGCAGAUAGAAGGAAUCCAGGUUCAUGCAGAUGAAGGUGGAACAACCCAAACACGUGGAGGCAUAUACUGGUUAAUCUUGCCAGCUGGAUGUAUAGUCUACAAUUCUUGCUUAAAUAUUUUACGUUUCUUACCUUGACGUGUUGAUUGCAUUUGUAGCUCUCAUGAAACAGUUGACAUGCAAGAGCAUUCAAAAUUAUCAAUUCUAUUAUCAUAAAUGCAAUAUUUUCUGUUCCUAUUGCCUUUCAUCUUACAUGUAGCAGUUAAUUUGAAUAUUACAAUUUACAACCUCCACGGAAUAGUAUCAUCAUUGCUAUUAUUUUCUGUAAAUGUUUAGGUUUACUUUAUCUUAUUUGUUUUAUCCUUGUGUUGAUGAUUCAGAUCUUGGUUCAUCUUUCUGGGGCAUGGUAUUGAUACUUGCAUCAACAAAUCUUCUUACCGCUAGAAUAGCUGCUGGCUGUUUUAUUGCUGCUCUACUUAUUGUCCUCUUCAUUGCCAAAAAUGUAGGUGAUGAAUACCCAUUUAUUUUACCCCGGAUCCUUCUCCUUUGAUGCUACAGUGUCUAUUGAGAAUAUGAAAAUUUAGAAACAGAUUGAACAAUUUCAAGCAUCCAUGUCACUAUGAAGAUUCAAACAUGUUGAUAACAUGAAGUAUCAUUUUUAUCAUUGUUAAAAUUCAGUUAUAACUUACAUGCCUGCCACCUUGCAUCUCUGUGCCAGUGUGUGUGGAACUAUGUUCUGGGUGGAAUAUAUGUGCAUUUUCUGAGACAAUAUUGAUCCAGUAUUCUAUCUCUGCCUUAUAUUAUGACUGAACCUUUAUUCUUGAUUCUCAAUCUUGUGCAGUGGACUCUUCGGGGACUUUGCAUUGGUAAGUUAUUUUCCUAAGUUUUCUAGGAGAUGCACACAAUGCAUCAUGUUUCUCUUAAAGUAUUUUAUGUUUGGAUGUUGAGGUCUCAGGAUUUAUCAUUUUUCUUGGUGUAAUAUGGAUUCUGCAAGAGACAACCAAAGUUCGAAUACUACGGUACAUUAUCUUGUUCAUAGGUAAAUAUUGUAACACCCUUUUACUUUGAUCAUUUUCAUUGAAAUUACAACAUUACUUCUUUUUUUCAAAAAUUAAAAUGCAGGUGUAAUGAAUAGCUUAUUUUCAGUAUAUGGUAUGUCUUUGGAAAUGCAAAAUCAAAUUGAUUUGGUGUUACAACUACCUUAUAUGAAAUAGUAAAAUCCCUUUAACUUGAGAAUACAGAUAUUUACGACGAUCUGAUCUCCCGUAGAGUACAUUCCAGUGAUGCAGAAAAAUUUGCGGAAGUGUGCCCCUGUCCUUGUACUGGUGUAGGAUGGGGUGUUAUUUGGUGAGGAUCUGUUAUUAGAAAGAGUUUUCUUUGUUGUUUCUGCUAAAGGUGUUUACUUAGUUGAGCUGACAAGGAAAGCCAGGUAACCUUGAAUCACAUUUUCAUUGUGUUGUUUUAUUUGACCAAUUCUUAAUUCUAUUUGCAGGGGGUUAAUAUCUUUUGUGUUUCUUUGCGGAGCUGUGUAUCUGGGUGCUGUGAUCUUGUCAUAACUGAUAAAGUAGCUUCAUUUUCUUCAUUCUUUACAUUUACUUGUUAGUUGUUAAGUAACAAAUGGUAAUCACUCCAUCUUAAUCCUUUUUUGAAUUUUUAUGUUUAAGUGCAGGAAAGAAGAUUGUAAUUCAAGUUCUAUGACCGCUGAGAAGCCAUGUGAUUCAAUCCAUCUGGCUUUACUGCUUUUACAGACUAAUUCUGAAUAUUGUCGAGUCAGGUCCUUUGGCAGUUUGGCUUCAUUCCUAAUCAUAUUCAGGGUGAUUUAUACCAGAUUAAAAUGAAAAAGUAGUUCUGAUAUAAAUACCCAUUUAGUCUAGUUUUCAAACUUAUCAUUUUUUUUUAUAGUUAAUAAGUGAAUUUUUUAAUCCCUAAAAUUUAGGUGAGUUAAAAAAAAUUAACAAACUUUUUCAGAAAAUUUUAUGAAGUAAAAAUUUAUUUAUUAAAUUUUAGAAACUAAAAAAAUCACUUAUUAACUAAAAACAAAAGAGAUAAAUUUGGAAAUCACAAGAACUAAAUGACUAAUUAAUUCUAAAUACUAUUAGUACAUAUCAUGUGUUUGUUUCUGUUUUAUAUUUAUAAAAUAAAAAAAGAUUUUAAUUCAUAAGAUUUUCCCUAUUAACUCCAACUCCUAGUCAUUGAAUGUGUAGUAUUUAGUGCAACACAGGUUUCUCUUAAAAAAAAAAUUUAAAAGUGCAACACAGGUUAUUUUGAUAAAUUAUCUGUAUGCAGAAAAUAGCUUGUGAUUUGGGUCAAAUGGUUCCUAAAGGCAAAGCAAAUAGUUCCUCUUAACUCCAAUUACUGAACUAAUUGAUAGCUUAGGUUAGAAACAUGACAUAUGUCAUAAUAAAAAAGAAAAAAUUACAUUAUUUAUCUAUGUAAUAUUUUCAAAUAUUAAAGAGGUAUUAGUGUAAUAUAUAAAGAAAUAUCAAUGUAAUAUUUUCAAAGAAGAAAAAUUAAUAUAAGACUAAAAGAAAAAAAAUAAUGUUACGUGUAAUUUGAAAAAAUAAAAUCAAGGUAUACGAGUUUAAUUUCUUCUAAAAAAAAAGAAUGAUUUUUCAUUUUAAUUUGAACCAAUGUUUAUACCAGGAUGCACGGUUAAACUAACAAUUGAAUGGCAAAGCAAAAGUAGUUGAUAAAAUGAUUUAUGCAAUGCAAUUUAAGUACAACUAAUUUAAUUAAUAAUAUAUUGCUAAAUUAGCUGAAAUUACAGUAUUAAUUACGUAGAAAUUUCAAGUUUGAGCAUUCGUGUAAUUACCUCCUUGCAUUACAUAAAAGCUUGAUCUACCCAACCACCUUCAAGCUUUAACAUUACAUAAAACUAAAUGUAACGCUGACCAUUGUUCGGAUGCUAUUAGAAAAUCAAUUUGCCAUUACUAAGGCUUUAUAAAUAACACUAUAUUUAUAUUUUCAUGAUGUAUUAUUAUAUCAAUGUUCUUUAAUUUCUUGAAUAAAAUGAGAUGGCUAUAAUAUGCACAAUCAAAAUGCUUAGCACAUAAACAUGACCAAUUAAAAUUUAAGAAUUUCGUCAAAUAUAUAAAAAGUUUAUUUCUAUUACAUAAUAAUAUAUCUGCCUUUUUUUAUUUUUUAGCACUAAUUAAAUUUUUAGUCCCUAGAUUUUUUUAGAUUCUAUUUUUCUUAUUUUCAAAUAGUAUUUUUGGUCCUUAAAUAUUUUUUUGCCUAUUUUUAAUUUUUCAUUUAUUAUUAUUACUCGAUUAUUUCAAAACAUAUAAAAAUAAAGAACUAAAUAUGAAUAAAACAAGACUCAUCUUGAACUAUAAAAAAAUAAAAUAAAAAACUAAAAUGGAUAAAAAUUAAAAGAACUAAAAAUGGCAGACGGGUUAACAGAAGGGUAAAACUUGUUAAAAAAAAUUAAAGGACUAAAAAUUGAAAUCUGAAAAAAUUGCAACUAAACCUUUUUUUCACUACUUCAUAAGAAAGUGAUGACAAACAGUCUAGACUUAAUUUUAAAUGAAUACAACAAAAAAUUGAAGAAAACCACGCCAACAAAAUUUUUGGGCAGCUUUUGCCAAAUAAAUUCCGCACUAUUCACCAAUGUUCAAUUCCUCAAAUUUACCACAAUAAAAAACGAUUUAAUCAUCCUCCAAAAUUCAACAAUUAUAAAUCUAAGUAUAAUCUAUUAACUUAAAAACUCAAAUUUUAGAAAAGUUCAUUUUAGUAUCAAUUUGAUUUUCGAAAUACUAGGAUUAAAAGAUGGAUGCAGUUUUUCUUCUGGUAAGCUGAAUGCAACAGAUUUAAUUCAAGAAAAAUAUAAUAAUUGUGAAAUUUGCAAAUAAAAGAAACUUAAUUUUAUAAUAAAUAAAGCUCAAAUACUACAUUGAAAAAACCAGAAAUAGUACUUCCAAAAAUCAGAAAACGAAUUCCAGAUUGAAAGUCAAUUUGUCACCAAAAUUUUAACCAGCAUACUCCAUAUGCAAUUCUCCGAACAAAUUCUCAAAGCUAACAAAAGUGAAACUAAGACUCUGAGACAGGAUACUCAAACACAACAUCUUUUCCAGAUAACUUCCUGUAUACUGCAGCAAAAGUCUCCAACUUGUACUCAGUGUUGUUUCGCUCCUUUGGGUCCAAGUAAACCUGCCCAACCAAUUACAUACAAAUUAUGUAGGCAUAAAAAAACUAAUACAAAGGUAAAGGUCAAGAAAUUCCAUAGACAAAUGCUCAACCAUAUAACACAAGUAACAAGAGUUAAAUGGUGAUAAUAGCUCUACCUUCAUAAUCUUGGAUCCAUCAAUUUGGUACCUCACACGCUUCCCAACAAUCUCAGCAGGCAAUACAACAUCCUCCAGCAUUGCUUCAUGAACAGCAGUAAGAGUGCGGCUGCGAGGACGCUGAGCAGCAGAACCCUUCUUCGGUGGCCUCAAAAUCCUCCGGGUGGCAACCAAGAUUACAUCCUACAUGUUUAAUUAGAUUAAAAUUGUUGAAUAAGAGAGAAACUAAAUGAAUAGAAGAUUGAAAAUGAAAUUAAUAAGUUCAAGAAGCAGUCUAAAUUAGAAGAAAACACUUCAUAGAAGCUAAUAAAGUUACACAACGACCCAAAGGAAUACUCCAGACUAUUAUAUACUAAACACAUAUUAAGUAAAUUGCACAUAACUCUCUUAGGACUAUUACAGAGGUGAAUUAAUCUCGUAUUGUGAGUCUGCAGCUUAAUCAUUAUUUAAUUAGCAUGAGGUUACACCAAAAUAUUUGCUAAUGAUAAGUGUUGAGACAUAUUAUAAUGAAAUAUUUCUCAAGUUGCAGUUGGAGUUUUCGGGUAAAAAUCCAAUCAAAAUGGUAGAGUAAAGGACCAUGAACACUAUCAAAUGUAUUCAAACUACCAAAAUGAUGCCAGAACAUAUCAAUAUAUAGAUGUCAAAAAUAUGCUAAGCUUUACCUACCUUGCCACUAAACUUCUUCUCAAGCUCCCUGACAAGCCUAACAUGAAUCUUACGGAAACCUUUCCUUAAUCUGUAAGGGACAUGAAUAACAACAGCCUUGCGGUUUCCAGAAACAUCAACUUGCCUGCAGAUAGUAAAAAAGCAUUCAUAAGACAGACAGAACAUUAAUCAACCUUCGUCACACACACAGUAGCAUGCAAUAGGAAUCCUUACACGGCUGAGUUUAUGUAUAAAUCCUUCAGAUCACUUUUAAGCUCCUGAUUGGUAUUUUCCAGAUCAAACAAUGCCUGCAGCAACAAAAGUUAAACCAAAAUAUUCACACAUUGGAAACAAAUGUGAUUAAACAGAAACAUUUUGAUAAUGGCUAAAAAUUACCUGUCCAACUGACUCUUCAAAUUCAGUUGGUUCAGCAUCCUUAUCCUUGUGGAUUUUCUUCCUUGAUGUGUACAUCUUCACAGCUGUACAAAAACAACAUAAUGUUAGAGCGCCUAGCCCCUAAACCCUAAACAAAAUUAAGGAGAACAGAAAAGGGUCAAGCCUCGAUUUGAACAUUCCUUAAAUAAUUCCAAUUUUCCAAAGGAUUAAAUCCCCCUAACUCCAACUAAUAAAAAUGAAAAUAGCCGUCUUCAAACCCCCAACAACAACCCCGCCUCAAGGUUAACACGUUUUGUUGGCUAACAGAAAAACUUAGAAAAAGUAAAUCAAUUAAAACAUAAAAAGUAAAAAUGAGAACUUUCCUUCUGUUACUCAAUGAUUCCAAUAAUUGAUUUGCAGAAUGCAUAGAAGGGGCAAAUGGGUCUAGAGCACACAUACCUUACCUGAGAAGAUGCAAGCCCUGAGAGAUCGGCGGCUAAGAGUCGGAAUGGGAGUCCCUACUGGUUCGCAGUGAAAAGAAAACCCUAGGGUUUGUGAUUAAACGUGUUUAUAAGGACUGAAUGAACGACCAAGAUCGGACUUCGUGUACACGUGGACGGUUCAUGUUGCAAAUUUUAAUCUUUCCUUAUUUUAGAUCUCUGUUUGCAUAUAAUUUUGGGCUCAAUAUUUUUAUGGAGCAAUCCAACAACCUGUAAUUUAUGGGCUUUAAGCCCAAAUAUAAGAUGAUGUCUGCACGAAGCCUACUUUUUUUAUUUUUUACCUAUUGCGACAGAAUUACUAGUUAAUUUAUUGGUAUGUAAAUGAGUGGAGGACUGGAAAUUUAAACUUCACUUGCAAAGAAAUGGGUGACUUAAAGCUUAACUAAUUUAUUCAAACAAGUCUCAUUAGAAGCUUCAACUUCACUUGUUUAAAAAAAUAAAAGCUUGAGCUUGAUUUGUUUAAUUCGUUUAAAAAUUAAUUACUUUUUAAUUUGCAAAAAAAUUCUUAAAUUAGUUUAUAACUUUAUCAGUGUAGAAUUUAAUAAAAUAUUUUAAUAAUAUUUAAUAAUCUACAAAUACAAAUAUGUACUAAACACUUGUUAUAAUGGUGUGGAAUCUAUGUAAUUUUAAUUUUCUACAUUUUAUAUAAACGAGUUAUUCACAAACUUUUACUUUUAAUGUCAAGUUUGUAAAACUUGGACUUGCUCGUUUAAAUAAUUGAGUUUGUUUUGUUAAAUUAAACAAACAAACAAACUUGCUCAAACAUUUAAUCAAACGAGCUCAAAUAAUUUACAAAUAUUUUGUCUCAUUUACACCCUCUUACUUUAUAUUUAUCUAGAAUUUGAAUGUGUAUGUUAGACAAUGUGUCUCUAUCUGUACAGUCAACACAAGUCAAUUAACUAAAUUAAGGUCGUCUUUUGAUGUUUCUCCUUUACUUUGGAAUUUAGUUCAACAUAGUUGGUUACUCGUGUCUUCACAUUACUCAGAAAUUUUAAGUUGAUAAACAAAAAAGUGUGUGUAUUUAUUAGUGGGAACGAGAAGAACAACUUUGACAAAUUACUAAGGCUAUUUUGUUUUCCCGUUUGGUUUGCGACAGCAUGCGUUGUGAGGCACAUCUAACGGUUGUUUGAAAAGGGAAGGGGGGAGAUCCGUUGGUGAACGUGCACUAAGUGAUCGUUUGUUUAUUUUUAAGUUAAAUAAAAUUAAUUAACAAAACUAAUUUUGAACCAUUCAAUUGAAUUGAGAUAGGUGUUCUUAGUUAUAGAUUUUGUUAUUAAAAUAUGUAUGGAAUUAAAGGUAUAUUGUUUAGAGCUAAAGAAAGUGUAAUGAUAUUUGUCUACUCUAUAAAAUGAGACGAGAAUUUGGAUGAAAAAGAAGUGAUAAAUAAGUAUAAAAAAAAAGUAGCUAGAAAGGAAAAAUAAUAGAUGAUAUAAUUAAAAAAAAAAAGAUUAGUGUAUCACUCUUGGAACAAAAUAACAUGAAAGCAUUAUUACUUGUAUCUUGAAUAAGCUAUUUAAGUGACAAUGAAGCUUGAAGCUCCGUUAUCUUUUGAAAUUAAUUUCUCAAACUCUUAAAAGAGUUUGAGAAAUAAUGGGGAGUCGAAAUUUCCACUGGAAAUAAACUAAUUAAUGUCAAAAGAUAAUAAUGGGGAGUCGAAAUUUCCACUGGAGAGUUAAUUUAAUUGCAAUGUUGGCACACUUCCAAUUCUAGUUGUCGAAAGGGUUUGAAAACUCAAAUGAAAUCCCACACUUAAACAAUUAGACAUAGUUAUUAAUAGUCUCUUUAAAAACUUUUCAUUCAUUUCAAUUAAUAGUCUCCGAAGUGUUUGUUUUAUUUUUAGUUAAAAUUAUUGUGAUGAAUGUUUUAAUAUAACUCAACAGAUAAAAGAAAAAUAAAAGCAAAAACAAGAUUAUGAUCCUUUUGCAAAAAGUAUUUUUGCUCAAACAUACACUUGCAUUUGAUUUCCAAACAUGCAUUUAUUUUACUACCCCAAGAUUAAUUCUUGAACAUGGCCUCUUGCGGCAGUGUUAAGGAAGCUAUUGUCCCUGACAGCCCAAUAAAAUCUCCCAUUCAAGACUCUUUUUACUCUAUCUUAAGUACCUAACUAGUUAACUCUUGAAUAGGUUGAUCUUAAAAUUAGCAGAAAAGGUCAACCAUUUCAACGAUUCUAUUCCACAUGGUUUUCCUUAAAAUUUUGUUACACCGUAUGACAAUUUUUGGUUAGCACUGCCAACAACUGAACUCCUACCUAUAUAGUUCACCUCAUUAAUAAUUUAAUACACAUGUGUAACACAAAUAUGGCGCUACUGCUAAUCAUUAUAUGGAUACUUAAAUGACGACACCCAUUAAUUUGAUAGUAAAGUUUUGAACAGAGGAUGGCAUUUCUAAGUCCUUUAGAUCAAAAGCUAAGUGCAGAUAAUCAUUUGAUUCUUUUGGAUCAACGCUUAUCUAAUGGUAUUUGCUUUUCAAUAACUCUAUAUUAUAAUAAUAAUAAUAUCACGUUUACAAAAGAAAAAACAAAUAAGUUGGAUCUGAAAUCUGAAUGGCCACAUACUCGUAGCUAUUCAACUGUUACGAUCUUUUUUGACGAUGGAAAGAACUAUUACGAUCUUAAAUUGAAUUAUUUUGACUUCAAAAUGGUAUUGGUACGGAAACGAAACACCUCUGUCCAACCUUUUGACUCUACCUCUUCCUCCCCACCAAUCGCAUCCGAUGGGUUCCACUUGGUAGGUAAGACAUGAAUUUUAGAUAAAAUUUAAAUGUAACUUUUUUUACUUUUGGUAUUUUUUAAUUAAAAUUUUAUUUCAAUAAUUUAUGUUGAUCUAUUUUUAAGCUACUUACGUUGAUUUCCAAUAUAAAUAUGAAUUUAAGGACAAUACACUAAUAAUAUAAAUCAUUUUUUAAUCACAUCCAAUACAAGUCAUAAUUAAUAUGAUUUUUAAGAUAAUUUUAUAUAAAUUAAUAAAUUUAUCAUAAAUAAUAAUUUAGAAUGGAAUGAUAUUAUAAAUUCAGUGCAUAGUGAUUUUUUUCCUGUAAAUAUUUAUAAAACAUAUAUUAUUGAGAAAAAACUUUCAAGUGGAUUCAUGAACUUGAAUUUUUUGUGAAGGAAGUUUCACAAAAGCACUUGGACCAAAGAGUUAAUUUAAUUCAACAAUUCAAGAGAUUUUACACGUAGUCGCCUGUAGUAUAGCAGGAAAAUAAUGGAAUCUGAUUCUCCCACCGUUGCCUGUUUCUGACCAAUUUGUUUCAAAUCAAGCUCAUUCACGUUGCACGUGUAGACUCGAUGCAAGGUUUCCCAAAAUAUUAUGCACAUAAAGAGAACAUGCAGACCAAUGUGAUAACAGAAUAAUGGCUUCAAUUAGUUGUACUUAUUAGUAUUAUUUACAGUAAUUCUUUAAGGUUAUCAUCAACUGCUGAAAUGAAGACUAUUUCUUUCUACAAUAAAAUUUUUAUACGCAUAAAUGAUAAAGUUUAAAUUUAUUUUAUUCAGGCUAACACAUGUUAAUUGAUCUAUAUUCACCUACCACACCAAAUUAAAAAUAAUAAUAAUUUUUAAAAAUUAUGAGUUCCGCCGUUGUUAAAAAGAAAGAGAUAUAUAUGAAUGAAGUGAUCACAAUUUUAUAUUAAUAAAAUUUUUACUUUUAAUUAUAUUAUUUUUUCUUCGAUCUCAAUUUUUUAAUUAACUUUAAGUUUUUAAUAUUUAAAUAUUGAAAAAAUAUAUAUAUUUUUAAUCCCUCACAAUAGACAUCACAAAAACAUGACUAACAAUAUGUUCUAAAGAAUUAAAAAUAAAUAUUUUUACACUCAGGACCAAAAUGUUCCACGGUGAAAUACAAGAAAUAAAAUCAAGAAUUUUAUAAAAUAUAAAAAAUGAAAACAUAUUUUUUUCUUAAUCUUUUCAUCUCAAAUCUCAACUAUUCAUAUUCUUAAAUUAAUUAUUUUUUAAGAAUUUAUUUUACUUUAAGUAAGUAUUACUUAAUUAUUUAUUUUACUUAAUUGAUUUUUUUUUUAUAAUUUUACAUAUUUUCAAUUUACAAUCAUAAAUUUUAUUUAAAUGAAACUAUCUGUACAAUUCACAUUCCUCGGGUGGACCGUGGGCGACGCUGGGUUCGUCGUGCCCGACAAUUUAAGAGCCAAGGGCAGAAUGCGCGUGUGCUGAACUUGACCAAUUGCCUAUUGGAGAAUUUCUACUUAAAAAAAAAUGGUUAACAAUAUUCAAAUAAGAGUUUCAUAUAUUUUUUAUCAAUAAGAAUAAAAAACAAAUGUUAAUAAUUUAUAAUAACUCGUACAUUUUAUCAAUCAAUUUAACUAUACCACAUGACUAAAUAUUUAUUAGUUAUUGAAUAUCUUAAUAAAUUUUAGAAUAUUUAUUAUAAAACUAAGAACGAAUAAAUUUUCAUUUAUAAUUUAUUUUAAAUAUGAAAUUGAUAAAUUUUAGGAUUCUACAUUUUUAUUUCAUUUAAUAUUUUUACAAAAUCUUAUUUGAAUUCAAUUUAUAUGCACUAAAAUAUUUUUUACAUAGAAAUGAAUAAAAAUCAACUUUAUCGUCACAUUAUAUUACCGUAUGUAUGGACAUGUACACGUCUGAUACUUGUGUAUAAGAAAUAAAUUACAUCAAAUUUGGUCAAUAACAUAGAAUCGACACAAGUUGAUCUACUUAAUGAUAUUUAAUAUAUUUUUAUUUAUUAAAAGAAAAAAUAUUUAAUUUGAUUCAAAUUAAAUCCAAUUGUGUAACAAAAAAAAAAAAACAAUCAAUUUGAUGUAAUCCAAUAAAUACCACAAAGUUUCCUAAAACAAACAAAUAAAUAGACACCCUCACACCCCUAACUAUUGGCAUGUAUCUUAAACUUUUAUUAAUUAUAAGAUUGGCAUGAAAGUAUUUACUUUAUAUCUUUAUUUUACAGUAUUUACUUUAUAUCAUAAAGUUGGCUUUUGUGAGAGAAUUACCUGCUUUGUGCUUCUUCGCUUAUUGUAUCUUCAACUUUCUAAAAAUUGUUCUAGGAUAGAAACAAUAAGUUAGGUUCACGUGAGACAAGAUUUGAGGUGGUUGGAAGUUGGAAACGAGGGUUUGUACUUCAUUGAUCAUUGCUGGAUUCACACUCGAGUGCAUCGUGUUUACAAAAUUCGGAGUAUAUGUUUGAUAAACCAUAAGACAGACAGACACAAGGAGAACGUACGACUUGAAAACGAAAUUAUUUUAACUCUUGGAAGUCUACUCGUAAGUUGUAUAUAUAAGCGUGUAAAUUUGAAUUGCAUAAAAAUUGCAACUCCAUCCUUCUCUACAAUUCUGUUCCUCUCCCUUAAUCAAUCCUCUCUAUAGCAACUCUUAAUUUAUGAAGAUACAAAAUAUUGACAAACUGACCUAGGCCUACCUAGAUUAAAUUGUUUAAAAACUUAAAGAAUCAUCCAAUGCUAUAUCUUCUUUUCGUUGUUGUGAAGACACGAUUCUUUGAACCAAUAUAUCUAAUGCUUCCUUCAUCCACCAAUGCUGACAAACUUCUCUAGCUUCAGCAACAGUCAUCUACAAAAGUGACCACAAAAAAAAUAUUAGGAAAAUUUGCAAAUUACGUGUUUUUAAAAAUCAAGUAACGUACAUGUGUAAAAUAAGAGUAGGGCCCAAACAUACCCAUAUUCUUCUCCGUAGAUUUUUCUCGGGCCAUGUAUCAAGUUGUUCCUUGACAAACAUGGGGAACAUGUGUCCUUCAUAGUAUAUGCCAUAUCUUUUGCUAAUGAAAUUCCAUUGUCCUAGUUCACUCUGCAUAUGAAUAACAAAACUACAUUUAAGUUUCAAUGUAUAACCAAAUCUUUUGGAAACAGAAAAGAAAAAAAAAAUCUGAUGAAGAAAAUAUAUACCUCAAUGAUUCCCAAUACUCCUGCUUCUUCAAGGGAUUCCCUACAAGCUGCUUCUUCUACAGAUUCAUCAAGUUCCCAUCCUCCCUGAGAUCAGAUAAAUAGGAUGUUAAUUAAUGUGGUACGAAAUUAAAUGACCAAUGAAUACCAAAUUGAGCAUAUAUAUAUAUUCAAAUGAAUACAACUAGUUAUAGCAAAAGUACCUUUGGGAACAUCAAUCCUCGACCUUUCUGUGAACUAACCACUAGCACUUCCAAUUCGUUGCUCAUUUUACCAUCUAUGUCUUCUUUAUAUCUAUAAGGUAUGCAACUGCGGAGAUGGACAUUAUAAUAACCGAGUAAAUUAGGGAAACAAACAAAAAUGAAUGAUAAAUUGCGCUGAAGAUAUAUACAGUACACAACAUGCAUAUGCAUGAUAGAGUAAUCAAUUAAUAUAUCUAAUAUUUGGAUCUAUGACCCUUUUCAAUGCCAAAACAAAAAAUCGGGAGAUACAUAGAAAAAGUGCGCCAUCAGGGACCUACCAAAUAAUUAAUCCUAUUGAAAAUAAAUUGACCCACGUGAAAAACAAAAUGAAACAUUUCGAAGACGCAAUAAGACACAAUAGCGACCGAUCGAACUCACCCAACAACUUGCCGGCCACCCAUGUUGUUGUACCUCUGCAAUUCCCUUCCUGAGCGAGAUACCAAGCAAGCCAUCUUUCAAAUCAAUUAAGAAAACUCAAAGAAAGCAAGAAUAUAGAAAAGAAGAAGAGUAGAGGGAUGAAAAUAAUUAAGUUAAUUAAUUAGCUAUAGAUAUAAUUAUGAUCGAUCUGUGUGAUUAGUUGGAGAUAUAAGAGAAUAAAGCUAGGGUGAAGAUAAAGAGUGACAAGAGGAAGCCAUAUAUAGAAUAUAAGCGUUGAGGUAAGCAAGCAAACCCAUCUGAAACGCGUAAUUGUCGCCUUCCUCGAGCCCCAUGUAUCUUUAAACAUCUAUAAUAUAAUAAUUAACCAAAAGUUGUUAAAUGGACCAAAUAUAUAGAAUAAAAUAAAAUUGAGAUUGAGGAUUCUCUAUCGUUUCGCCAACAAAUUGUUUACAUUUGGCGUGGCAUAUUAAUUCGCAUUGCAUUAUUAAGUCAACAUUAAUAACUUGCUGUUGCUAUGCUAAGUUCAUGAUCAGUUUAGCUAGCAAAAAAGAAUAUUACUUUGUGGGGUGAAGUUUUAUUUAAUUUAUUUAUUAGCAACACAGCAGUCUCUACAUUAGAGUCGACACGGCCUGAUAGAAUAUGAUCCCAAGUUGACUUUGGAAAAACACGUUAAUUUCUCCCAUAUGUAUGGCUUCUCACUCUACUUUCAUAAUUGCACCCUGCUGGAUAAUGACCAUGGAUGGAACCACUCACAACGGUUUUUUUUUCUUUCUUUCUUUCUUUCUAACUUUCAAAAUAUAAUAGUAUGUAUUUUGUAUAAAUGGGCUUCAAAAAUAGUAAAGAGAAAAAAUUAUGUUCUCUCAAAUGAAUUUAAUUAUUUCCAUCCUUUUUAUCUAUUUUAUUUUCUUCUUUCUCUUAUAAUAUGUUAUGAAAAAUAUUUUCUUUUUUUGUUUGAAAGAAGACAAAACACUACAAGUUGUAUUAAGAAAUGUAAUAUUAUCAUUAUCAUGUUAUACCAAAAGAAAUUAGUUUAGAACAAAAUAUCUUACAAUUUAUUAUUAAUUUGAAAAAAAAAUUUAAAGUAAUAUAACCUAAAAAUACGUCAAGUUAAUUUCUAAACCUUGAACCUUAUUUGAUAUGAAUUGACCUUUAACAUCCAUGAUAAAUUUGAUAACAAUUAAAGAACUAUAUUAAUGACAAACAAAAAAAUUAUAGAGACUAAUGUAAUAACACUCGUAUCUUUAGAGGCAAAGAUAAAAGUUUAUUCUAAAAAAAGAUAACCUGCCUAACUCCCAAUCACACCACACAUAAGACAGGGUCGGGUUAACAAACAACUAAUAAUAAUGACAAUUUCUCCCCACAAAGAAAAAAAAUUAUGAUGAUUUUGGUACGGCCCAUCCAAAACAUAAUAGGCCGCAAGGACCGGUCCAUAUUCAACUCAGUAUGGGUAAAUGAACAAGCCCAACAUUGUUAUUCUCACCUUCCAUUUUCUAAGUUGGCCCUCUAACAUCGAAUGAUUUUCUUUUAUCAAAAUACCCUUGAUGAAAAUGUAUUUUCAAAUAUGUAUCUUGACAAAGACAGGUUUUUGUCAAGACACACAUCAAAAAAUUAUUUUCUUAAUGUACCUAGACAAGAGUUGUCAAGAUAAAAGACAAGAACAUAUUCUCAUUGUGUACCUCAACAAAAUCUUGUCCAAAUACAAGAAACAUGUUUUCAUUUUGACAAUGUCAUAACUGAUUGUUAACAACACACACACAUAUGGAUGUACUUAUUUCUAUGAAUAAAUAAAUUCAUCUUAAAAUAAGUUUAUCUUUCAAAUACGUAAAACUAUCUACUCUUAAAAUUUAAGAAUCGGUUUAAAACUGUCUCAUAUUAGAUCAUUUUUCUUAUAUAAAUAACAUUAAUAUUUAGUUCAACCGGUCAGUCAAACUCAUUCGGCUUGUGAAUAACUUUUAGUCUAGGUUAAGUGAAUUUUCCAUAACACCAAAUUUUAAUGUUUUAUGCCCGCCCAACCGGGCAAGAUUUAUUGAUAAAAAAGUCAAUCAAUUUCACAAAUAAUACAAAGAACAAAUAUAUGACACUUUUGCUAAUUAACUUACCAUUUUUCAUCAACUAUACAUUACGAUUGUCCUACACAUUCCGUUCAAGUUCUAUUUUCUUGAUUAAUCCUCUCAUUUUCAAUCCACAAAAUAAUUAAAUUUGAUACUUUUUAGAUAUCAAAAACUAAACUAAACUAAUGAAACUAGUUACCUCGAAUUAACUGAUUGUUCAGUUCUUAAUUUUGUCAAAGUUCAGUAGCUAGUAUAGAUGAUUGGAGUAUACAGGUCAACUGCUUUUAUAUUUUGCCCCUUUGUUUGUCUUUUUCAAAGUUCUUUUUGUUGACUGGUCUCCCAAAUGAACCUAUCACACGUUUAUGAACCAUUGACAAGACAAUUUAAUGGGUUGCAAUAGGCCAUAUAAUUAAAGUAUUGCCAUCACAAGUCACAAAGACAUUUGGAGUCAUACCAGCACUAAUUUGGCAGCCUAAGAUUUACUAGUUGCUUGCACCAAGGAAUAAAAAAUAGGACCAACUGUUUGAAAAAUCUGUAAAGAUUUGACCCAAAAUUGGAUGUGGAAAAUAGAAAACAAAUGGCAAAUGUGAACAAAAAAGUAGAAAACAAUAAGGCAAAGUGGAUGUGAAUAGACCAUAAAAUAUAUUGAAUAAGUGGAUCUGGUAGGUUUCUAUUGGUUUAAGUGGCUUCCCUAGUGGUCGUUUUAGGUGGAUCAUGGCCACGGAUGGAGGGUGGUAGAAGUUUGAUUUUGGAGCAUUCUUAUGUCGUGGAAACCAUUUCUCAGUACAGAAGGGACAGCUUAUAGAGCGUAAAUAGGAAACAUAUGUGAAAUUUUUCUGACUUUUCAUUGUCACAUCACAUAAAUAUUAAAUGGAUUGAUGCCUAUCAUUUCUUUUGUAAACACGACGGCUUUCCUCCACGUGUUCGAUCAACUUCCAAUCUCAAUCUUACAUGAUUGAUAUUUUAUUUUAUUUAGCUACCAAAACUUAAUAUAGAUCGAGGAUCAUGAUCAAUUAUGUUGUCAUUAUUAAAUUUAGAGAACUUGAAAGGUACUAGUAAAUAUUAUUUUAAAAUUUAAUUGAUGCAUAUAAAUAUUUUUUUAAUUUUAACAAUCAUAAAAAAAAUGAAAUGUGAGUUUUUAUUUUCUCAACACUUUGUGUAGCAUACUAGCAUUACAUAAAAUAAGAUUUUUUUAAUAGGUAAAAUAAUGUGUUGAUAAGUAUUGUAUAUUGGACUUGGACAUUUGGAGUUGAAUUAAUAUUGCAUAGGUGAAAAGAAAUUCAUUUAUCAUGGUUUUCUCAAAAAUAAAUAUAUAUAAAUAAGUUAUUUUUAAGAGUUUUUCAUAAAAAGUGUUUGGCCUAACUUAUCCUUUUAAGAAGACAUGCUAAAAAAACUAGACCAAAAGAGUGAGGAUUAAAAGCACAUAAAGGGUCAAAUAUUUAAGAACUUAGAAAGUACUUAACAUUUUAUAAAAUUUUGAAAAAAAGUUAUAGCACCUCUAUUUCUGUAUCUAAUCAAUUUUGGGAAAACAUUAAAUUUUCUAAAGAAACAAUAUGCCAAUUAAUUGGUGCACAUCAAUAUAACUUUUUGUGAAGUUUUAUAUUAAAAAAAUUGAAAUGUGAUUGUUUUUUUUUUUUGUUAAGACUUAUACAUAGCAUUACCCCCAUAAACCCAUAAAAUAAGAUUUGUUCAUAAAUAUUGUAUUGUGUAUUGGACAUUUGGCGUUGAAUGAAUAUUUGCAUUUGCAAAGGUAAAAGGAAAUAAUUAGUCAGGGUUGUCUGCUUUGAUUUGUUUCUUGGUUAUUAAUAGAAAAGAAAGCAACAAAUUAAAUGGGUCAGAUUUGUAAUUAAAUUAAAGUAUAUCAUAUAUGGAGGGUGAUUGUUUUGAUAGGAAAUAAACAAAAUAAUAACAUUUUAGGGGGCAUGGAUUGAAACGCGUGCUUCAAAUCCUUUCAAGGUGAGGACGGGUAUUACUUCUCCAUAUCUCGAUUCUCCAACAUAUAUCUGUAUCUGUUUUUUGAUACUUGAUGGGUUAAGAUUUGAUAUCCUAUCCGUACUUAUUGGGUAUCGGGUAUCCUAUCCUUGUCCCGUCACUUGUUUAGAUUUGUAAACAAGUUUUUUUUUAAAUUAUAUUAAAAAUCAUAUUUAAAAAAAAAUGAUUGUUACCAUUUGUUUAACUACUUCUAUUUGCAGGACAUUUGUUUACAAAAACCAUCAAGAAAGAAAUCUUAAAUUACGUAAAAAAUUAUAAAAAAAAUUAAUAAGUAAUUAAUAAAAUUUUAAUAAUUUUAUCAUCGAAACGGUAUGAAAAUGAAUAUGAAACAGGUACUGACAUCUCUGUCCUCAACCCAGACCCCGAUUAAAAAAAUCUAAUAAUCCUCAAAUCCAAACCUAAUCAACUCAAAUAUUUCCGGUCAAAAUCAUAACCGAUUUAAACAAUCAUUUUCAUGCCUACAUCCAAAUGGAGAAGGUGGACGGGAAGGAGCCCAUAUAAAACUUCCUUUUUUUAUAAUAAAUAAUAAAUAAAGAUUUUUUUUCCUUAUUUCCUCUCUCUCAAAAUCUGAUAUUUCUUUCCUUCUUCCGGGUAUAUAUAUAUAUAUAUCCUUGAAUAGGUAUCCCUAACGCCAAAAUUACAUUUCACACAUAUUUGGUUCCUGUAAAAGGCUCUGUUUGUGAGUUUGCAGAAGAAGAUGGAGAACAGGACCCCUACUCCUCCGCGAGAGGGUUGCAUGGGUUUUGCAGUUCACAGCCAAGUGAUCAAAAUUAAGGAAGAAAUUGAGAAAAUAAAGCACCCUUCACUUCAGCUACACAUGAGGCGUGCCCUUCUCAGAGAUGUCAACCACCUUCACUCUCGCUCACCCCUCGGAUUGGCAGACAGAGACAGGGCUAUCCUUAGAUGUUAGAAACUUACUAUAGACACACAGACAUGUACAUAUAUAUAUAUAUAUAGAGAGAGAGAGAGAGAGAGAGGGAGGGAGAGAGAGGGAGAGAGAGAGAGAGAGGGAGAGAGAGAGAGAGAGACUUCCCUUGGAAGGAAGUUUCAACUAUCAUAUGAUAUAUAAUCCUUCUGUUUCUUUUAUAUUCUGUGUUUCUUCUUCUUGUUUGUGUACUUCCUUGUACAUGUUUUUGGUGAUAAAAGUUUACAACAUGGUUUCUCUAAAGUCUUUAACACCCUUUUUAACUCAUAAUUUCUCCAUGUGUAUAUCUUUUUGCAAACACCGGAUUCUUCCUAUAAUUUUUAAUUCUUUAGAGGGCAUACAUACAUGGUGCAUCAGAUUGUCAUAAAAUGAAUCCUGCGACUUAACAAAUACUAGCUUUUAGUAUUUGGUCGGGAAAAGGGAGGAGAAGAUUCGUUGUCCCUGUCUAUAAAACAGAUUUUCUUUAAACCAUUCUCUUGUUGUAUGUCACACGGUUUGAAGCCAACUAUUAGAUUGGACCGAAAAAUGAACAGGGCAAAACAUAUUAUUGUGUUUCCAAACGCUCCCUUAUGGCAAAGAUUAAAUCUAACACGGAACGUCACGUUACAACUAACCGUGCUUAUGCCACGUCAAAAAUAAUAAAAGACGAAAUUCUCUACCUCCACGUCUUAUUCAAACUCGUUGUCUGGUUAUUAUUAUUCAUGAGAGCGAGACUGAAAGAGAGAGCCAUGCCAGUGGGGUGUAACUUUUCUAUUUAUUUUUUACUUUCUUUCCGCUUAUCUUAACCAAGG